CCCAUCAUUCCCCUCUCUCCUUCCACUUCUAAAUCUAAUUCCCCAAAACCCUAAUCCCUCUCUCUCUCUCUCUCUCUCUCUCUCUCUCAACAAUGGACGACGUGAAGGAUAAAGUGAAAGGCUUCAUGAAGAAGGUCAACAACCCCUUCUCCUCCUCGUCCUCUUCUUCCUCCUUCCGAGGCCAAGGUCGCGUCUUGGGCUCCGCCGCCGCCCCCUCCCCUUCUCCCUCCUCCUCCUCCUCCUCCUCUUCCUCUGUUCCUCCUCCGCCUCCGCUCUCUACGCCCCCUCUUCCCCCGUCGUCCAACUCACCCCCUCCAACUUCAAAUCCAAGGUACUACCAAUCGCCCGCUCGAUCUCUACUCCUUCCCCUCGAUCGAUCGAUGUGUUGAUCGACCUCUCUUUUCGAUUUGAGUUUUUUUUUUUUUUUUUUUUUUUUNGCCUUCCUCUCCGGUCGCCGCGCGCGUCGCCGCGUUCUUGUCGGCGGCGCCCCCGCCCCCCGAGGGCUCGGUGGAGGUGGUGAGGAAGCUGCUCGGGAACGUGGUGCGGGAGCCCGGGAACGACAAGUUCCGGAGGAUCCGGAUGGGGAAUCCCAAGAUUAGGGAGGCGGUGGCCGACGUCGGGGGAGGGGUCGACCUUUUGGAGUGCGUGGGGUUUAGGAUCGGGGAAGAAGACGGCGAGAUUUGGGCGACGAUGGGGGUUCCGGCGGAGGAGCAGGUCGCCGUGAUCAGAGAGGCGUUGUCGUUGUUAGAUCGCGGGCGGAAUUCGGAGGAGUCCUCAAAGUCGCAGGCAACGUCGGAUGUGGCCGCGGAGAGAUCUACCGAGCCGAGGAAGAUCGAUAGGCGGGUGAGUUCCUAUUAAAGGUUCUUUCUUGCUGCUCCCUAAAUUGUGCUCUCUACACCGUUUGUUCAUUCCCACUUUGUGCUUUAAGAUCUUACGAGGGUUGAGAAUUAUAUAAUUGUGUGUAUAUUUGUUCAAUUCCUUGUAACAUUCUCGCGAUCGUCUAAACUCUCCAUGCCUAUGCUGCGGAUUGUUCUCCUUAUCAUUUCCUAAGCUGAUUGCUUAUUUUUGGUGCACUAAUUGGCUUUGCCUUGUCGUGGAAAUCCACUUGAUAUAAUAAUUAGCCAAUUUGUAGUGCUGGGGGCUGCGUGCGAACACCGUACUGGGCAGACUCUGAUUCUUCUUUCUCAGCACAACAUUAUUCUAGGAAAAUGUAACUCUAGGAUCGUACGCCGAAAUCCUUUCAACUUUAAUAACAUGCCUAGUUGCAUGACAAGUAAUCGUUGGUGUUUUGCUGCCUGGGAUGGUGUCAACUUCGGCACGCUUUUGGCUUGCCAUGCCCUUGUCACAUUACGAACCAGCCAUCCUAACAUAUUCAUGACAAACACUCUCUCUUGUUUAAAUUUAAAAGCCUUUAGCACCAAGUAUUAGUUUUUGCAAAUAUGUUACCUUGACAGUGGUAAUAUUUAGAGCUGAGCCAUCUAGACCUCUGGCCCUUGAUGAGUCUAAGGGAGUGAACUGGUAAAUUUUAGGUAUGAUGGUUAAAUAUUUCCGUUAGUUUCAUGUUAGAAUUAGGCCGGUGUUUCUGUUUUUCCUGACUGUGAGUGUUUUUGGAAUGAUCAUCUGCUUAAUAUACCUAAGCUGCGCUAUUAAUCUGUUUCAGUUUAUAGCUGGUUGCAUCACAACUCAUCAUCUCUUGACUACUUGAUAAUAUGUAAACUCUUUAGGUCCGGGUGUUCUUUUGUCUUCCUGAAAGCGUGCCUGCAGAUAGUGAUCUGCCAGACUCAUUCUAUAACCUAUCUGUGGGAGAGGUAAAGAGAGAAGCUGAUAUGCGGAAGAAAAGACUAGAAGAGUCUCGAUUGCUUAUUCCUAAGUCAUAUAAGGAGAAACAGGCCUUGGCUGCUCGGAAGAAGUUCAAGAGGACAGUUGUUCGGAUCCAAUUUCCAGAUGGAGUAAUUCUCCAGGGCGUGUUUCUUCCUUGGGAGCCAACUAGCGUGUUAUAUGAGGUAUGGUCAAAUUUCAUCUUGAUUGCUUACAUCGCAAUAUCAAAUACUUAUUUUUGGUCUACGUGACUAAAAUAGUAACUUUGGUUAAUUAAAUGAACCAACUCUAAUUCUUGAAUAAUGAAUAUUUAAGAUCGCAUUAUCAGUGUGCACGGCACAUAUUUUUGCUUUUAUUGUAUUGCUAUUGACCAAGAUUUGAUGUCAUAAAAUUGAGAUGACAUAGCACUAAAAGUAACCUCGUUACGUUAACUGUGCUUCUCCAAGAUACAGCAAGCAGCUGGGAUUCUUUGGAUAUGAGUUGACUCGUAUAGCUUAUCUGUUGCACAAAUUUUUCUGCUCGAAUCAUAUAUUUGAGAUGCUAAAGUUGACUUUUUUUUUUUUUUGGAAACACCUGAAUGACUUGAUUAGUUGGGCUUCGAUGGGAUUAGAUAAAAAUGCUUCAAAAACUGGUCAUAUCGAGGUCCUGAGCAUCCUGCUGCUCUGAAUUUGCUCUGGAAGUGACUAUGGAUCAGCAAUAUGGUUAAGAAUUAUUUUGGCUGUUUUUAUUCUUAUCGAAAUUAAAGUUAUGACAAUUGACAUUUUAAAAUAUGGUAUAUUAUUGAAUAAAGUUCAGAACUGAAAUUGUGUGGUUGAGAAUUAUUUUCAGCGAGGAUUGGCUAUGCCAUUUAAUCGUUGAUGCCCCAAUUUGAAUCGAAGCUACUAAUGUCCGUCUGAAUAGAUAUAAGACCAUAUAUACCACGUCUAGUGUAGCAAGUGUUGUGUUUUGCUUCUGGAAAUCUGUGACUCUGUGCUGAUUAACUUGUACUGAGACUAGCUUUAUUCCAUUUGGUCAUGAAAAUGUGAGGGACUAAAAUUAUUAUCUUCACUUGCAUACCCAAGUGAUCUUCAUCAUCUCCUGAUUUAGUAAUGCCUGAAAAAUCUCUCUCAUUAAUGCUGUUAUAUGUCGGCUUAUCUAUAUUUUUAUAUGUCGACUUAUCUAUAUUUACUUUGGCAGUUUGUGAGUUCUUCGCUGAAGGAGCCCAGUUUGGAAUUUGAGCUUCUGCGACCAGCAAUUCCAAAGCUUCGAGCAAUUCCUCGCUUCCCGCGACCUGGGGAUAAAGCGCCAACACUAGAAGAUGAAGACUUAGUUCCUUCUGCGCUACUGAAGUUUAGACCCGUAGAGACGCAGUCAGUUGUUUUCACCGGUCUGACCAACGAACUACUCGAAGCCAGUGAGCCGCUUACGGCUGCAACAUCUGUUUCCGAUGAACUAAAUGACAAUGGCCAUGAUUCUCAGUGAAAAAUCUCAUAUAAUUCCAUCAUUGUGCUUUUUUUUUUUUCCCGAAUGAUUGGCGAUAGAUGCAGGUAUUGUACUGCAAUUCAAAGGAAUUUAUCAUUUUGAUGUAAAUAAAUACUGGUUCACACGCAAUGCUGUAACAAUUGGUGAUGAGCUUCUAGCCUCUUUCCAGCUGCUCUGAAUUUAAUUUAUCAGAUAUAACUGAUGCUAGAUGUACUUGUGCACAUGUUUCCAAGAGAAUAAUUAUAUUUUGAGUGGGUUUGACAUUUGGGUUCUCUUAAUGAAAGUCAUUGAUGAUCAUGAAAUUAGUUUCAUUGCUUAAGCGUGAUAUGAACAUAAUAGUGUUGGAAAACAAGCUACUCUUUUCUGACUUAAUAGUUUAUGCAAUCAGCUCGUGCAUAAGCUUUGUUAUCAAAUGCAAAAGUGUAGGAUUAAUAUACAGAAAAAAAAAGACUAAAAUUAGAGUUUCGCCGCUUUGAAGCCCAAAUAUGUUAAGGCCUAAUUUGAUAAUGUAGUAGCUAGAAUCAUCACUUCAUACUAUAAAAAAUUCAAAAAAUUUGAAAACGUUCGCAAUCUUUUCUUCUGUUAUGUUUAAAAAUUGCUGUUGUAACUUUAACAUACUUUUCCGGUGUCGAUUAUAAUCACAAUUUUAUGGUGUAAAAGAAAGAAAGAUCACAAAUGCAUAUAAUUUUUUUGAUCUAUUAUACUAGUAAUUUUAGACGCCACAUUACCAACCUAAAACCUCAAUGAACUAACUAUAGGGGAUCCAUGUUUAGGACAUUCACAUUGUUGAACAAACUAAAGCAUUAUUUCAUCUAAAUUCCGCUUUGUGUUAGGAUUAAUACAUAGACUAAUUUUUACCAUUCGUGCUCACGUGCAUGGAGGAUAUCACUUUAUGUUAUGCAAGUGAUCGACAUAAUAGGAAUACCUAAUUCUAAUGGUUCCCGCAUCAAUUGACAUUUCAUAAUUAAACAUCUUCUUUCAUUGCCUAUAAAAUGGAUUAGAGGAUUUACAUAUUGGCUCGGGCCAAAACCAAUUCGGGCUAACCCUUCAUUUGGCCCAUAAAUUGAUCCGUCCAAUUUUAGGGUAAAGCUACAACCGAAUGGGCUAAGUCAUAUCCAACGUGAUUAGACCGACUCAAUUUGAGUCGAGCGAGUCAAGCGGACUAUACAUCUUUGAUGUGAUCCGGUUGGCUAGUGAAAUAUUUUGGACUAUUUUGUAAUGAAAAAUAUCAGUUGUAGUGGCACAAGAUUCUUGCGCAUAAACUUGAAAUUUUUUUUUUUUUUAUGGAACUCAAACUAAGAACAUUCAAUUUUGAUACCAUGUUAAAUAAUUCUAAAUAUUUACGACAUUUUGACGUAUGUGAUAGUUUCUAUAUUGAACGACAUGAAUGACCAUGUAAUUUGUUUAUAUGCUAAAUAAGUGACUACACGCCCCCGUCAGCAGAAAAGCAAGCCUAGCUACACGUGGCAAACUGAGAAGUACUGCAGAAAGAACCGCAUUGAGCGAUUCAAGAGACAUCACCCUCCAUCUUCUUUGAAAACGUGCUUGGAGAUAAGAAACGCUAGCCACGAGUUGAUCCCACGAGAGGGAGAUGCCCAUCACAUGGGGGUUUAAGUCCAUGUGGGGGCACUUCUUAAAGGGGUGCAAUAAAUAUCACCACAUCCCUAUAUAGCACUUAAAACAGUCACUUCCCCUUCCUUUCAAGCCUUCUUACUAUUGCGCAUGCUCCUCCCCCUCCCUCCUCUAAAUUGUUUUGUCACACAAGUAAAGAUAAGUGAAGGAAAAAAAAGAAAAAGAAAAAAAGUAAAAAGAAAGAAAGGGAAAGUUGAGAUAAAGCCUCUCCAAGAGAGGAAAAGAGUGGAGGUGAAAUUAAAAUGUGGUGCCCCCACCAAAUAGAAAGGAUCAAUUUUUGUGGCCUCCAAUGUGGUCCAAAUAAACAUGAAUAGGAUUGAAUAAUUGAGGCAUUCAAGGAAAUGUCCUUUAUGUCCCUUAGCAAGAGGGGGUACAACAUGUGGGUUUGUGGCCAUGAAGCUGUAAGUUAUUUUUGCAUAGGGAUUGGGGGGCCCCCCCCAUUUUGCUUUCACUCCUUCACAUGGCAUUGCUUGAAUGCUUGCUUCUUAGUACAAGUUUUCUUCAUGCAUCACAUGACUUGAUUGAGACCCUUCAUGAAUCAUUUUUGGUGUUAGAUCACAAGAUUGUAACUGCUAGUCUUUUUGGUUGCAAGAAGUCAAUAACUCCUCUUCUUCUUCUUCUUCUUUUUCUUCUUCUUCUUCCUUUUUUCUUGUUUUUGAACAUAAAAUAUCAAAACAUAUAAUGGCACCGUUUGGAUUGAGGAUAAGGGAUGGAAUAAUCUCUUAUCCCCCUUUAUACCCAAACGCUAAUUUUUUACUCGAGAAUAGUAGUUCUCGGUUACUUAUAAUAACCGGAUAUAACUAUUCCUACCAAAACUUUAAUUUUCUAUAUAUAAUUGUCCACUAUUUUUCUUAUUCCAUAUUAUCUAUCCAUAUUUUUCUUAUCCCCGAAAACAAUCCAAUUUUCAUCCAAACGCUAAUUUUCUUAUCCUCAUACUUGUACCUAUCCCUGUAAUAGCUAGUUCUUGCUUACACCCGAACCAAACGUUAGUAGUAUAUAUAUAUAUAUAUAUAUAGUUAGGCUGUUAUACUAUCAGUAGCACGGAGGCCUCCGUGCUACCAAAUUGUUUUCAAUGAUGCGGCUUCUAAAUCGACGAUCGGCUNNNNNNNNNNNNNNNNNNNNNNNNNUAAGGAUUGUAGUCCUGUAAGCCUCUUUAGAUUGUAGACUCAGCGGUAUUUCUUCUCUAAUAAGGGCAUGUUUGAUUUGGGUUAUCUACUAGGAUUAUAGGCAAAAAUACAGAGGCAAAAAUACAAGCAUGUGCUCGAGUGGUAUAUGUGCUCGAGUGGUAUAUAUAGUGCAUUGUAUUAUUUCCUUCCCUUCUGCAAGUAAAUCUCGCAAAAAAGUCAAGCCAAAUUGGGAAUUUUCUAUCUCCUACUACCAGCCAAAUGAACCGGCAUUAAACAAGUUCGUCGUCCUCACGCCGCCAUGACGCGGAAGAUGGAUUAUCCUCACGCCGCCAUGACGCAGAAGAUGAAUUAUUUAACUAAAUUAUAGACGCUUUGUUGUUGCUCUUGAGUGGCGACCGCGCUUGAUAGUCGAAAACGAGAAAUUAAAUGAUGGGAUAGAUCAACGGAUUCAGAAUCAAUAAUAAUAAUAACAUCCUACACUGCUCACAUUUGGAAGCGCGCGCGCCCUAAGGGAGUAAUAAACUCUUCAUCACAAUAACAAUCUACAACAACAUUUAUAUAACGUAUCAAAUUGAACAUAAAAGAAGGAAUUAAAAAAAGAAAGAAAGAAAGAAAGAAAGAGAAAAACUCUCAAAUCCACUGCAAGAGCAAGAGAAGCACACACAAAAGAAAACAAAAAUUAAAUAGGAGAGAGGAGAGAGAAGCACACACAAAAGAAAACAAAAAUUAAAUAGGAGAGCGGAGGAGGAGGAGGAGGAGGAGGAGGAGGAGGAGGCUAUUUGUUGUUCUUGGUGGUGGUGAGAACGAUGGGCAGGACGAUAACGAGGAUGAUGAUGAGGAGGAGGAUGAUGGCGAAGCAGGUCCACUUGCGGGUGCUCUUCUGGUGCGUGCGGGCGACCUGCAGCUGCUCGCGGCCGCGGUCGACGAAGGACUUGGCCCGGCCGACGUGGUUCUCGAUGUCGUCGAGCUGCUCGCCCUGCGCCUCGACGAGCACGGCCAUGUCGAGGAACACCUGCUGCAGCUCCAGCAGGCUCCGCUCCAGCUCCGCCACCGCCCCGUGCCGCUCCUGUAUCUCCGCGAUCACGUCCACCACCCUCCCCCGCCCCUGCUCCUCGAUCGCCCGCUGCAGGAACCGCUCCCCCUCCCCCGUCGCCGCCAGCGCCUCCACCGUCGCCUCGUCCGCCUCCUCCCCGGUCACUGUGUAGUACCGCCGCCGCACCGUCUCCCGGUACUCCCCGGCCACCCGCUUCCGGAGCUCCGCGAACGCCUCCAUCGAGUCCCUCAGCUUCUUGCGGAGCCCGGCCACCACGGAGGUGCGCGUGCGGUCCGUGGAGCUGCCGGGCCCGCAGCCCGGGGCGGAGCGGUUGGCGGCGUUGGCGCGGUCGAGCGCCUCGAGGCGGAGCUUGAUGACCUUCGCCUUCUUCAGCGCCUGCGCCACGUCCGCGUCCAUCCGCGCCCGCAGCCCCCGCACCGCCGCCGCCUCGUGCAGCGUCUUCCCGGCCUCGUUCGCCUCCUGCAGCCGCCGCUGGAUCCGCUCCACCUCCCGCAGCUCCUCCUUUAUCCCCUCCACGUCCUCGAAGAACCUGUCCAAGCUCGCCCCGCUCGCCCCCAUCUCCACUCCCCCUCCCCCUCCCCCUCCCCCGGAUUCCAGGUCGUCGCCGCGCCUCCACGACGACGAGAACAGGUUGUUCAUCUCGCUCCGAUGCCUACCUAGUCAAUCAAAUUUACAGAAUCUCAAUAUCGAAUUCGAUUUCGAUUUCGAAUCUAGAGCGAUUUGGGAUUUGGGAUUUGGGAUUUGAGGAUCGGGUCGAGGGGGCGGUAUAUUGGGGAAGAAGAAGAAGAAGAAGAAAUAGGUUAUAGAUAGGGACAGGGAGAGAGAGAGAGAGAGAGAGAGAGAGAGAGAGAGAGAGAGGGGAAACGCGGCUUUGAAUGGGCUUGGAGGAUGAAAUUGGGCGACGCCACAAUACUAGUAUUAUUAUUACUUCUUCUAAGUACUUGUUUAUUAAUUAAUGACCUUUUCGUCGUCAAUGGCGAUGGGUGGGAAAAUGGAGGAGGAGGAGGAGGAGGAGGGACCAGUCAAAGUAUAGUUUAGAAGAAGGAAAUAGAAGCUCUGAAAAUGAUAAUUAAAUAUAAAAAAAAGAAAUGUAUUAUUACUUUACAUCUUGUUCUAAACGACCGGUGAUAUUCUCACCCAUAGUUUGCAGAGUGUUACACGGUUGACUUGGAGAUCCACUCCGUACCCCGACGAAAGAGGCAAAAGCUCUCUUCAUAUAUUUUGGUAAAAAUAUACUAAAUUUAACUUGAGUUUAAAUCUAACCGAGUUAUGGACCGUGUUCAGUCGGUUAUUUCAUUUUUUAAGAUUUUAAUUUUAGUAAUAAUUUUUUUAUUUUUUAUUUUAGUCAAUAAAUAAUAUUUUGACUUUAAAUUUUGAAUGUGCCGUUUAUUUUUACACGUUUAGUCAUAUGUUUAUACAAUUUUCGUAACUAUAAAUAUAUUAAAUGUUGGAUGGUAAAUUUAGAAUUUUAAAAUAUUGGAUAGUAGACUCAAAAUAGUCGAUAGUUAAAAUAGCUUUUGCACGUUUUUAUCUAAAAUUAAUUUUAUCAUUUGCCCUCAUGUAAUUAUAUUGAAAUUUCAUUGCAAUAGUGGACCCUAAAACAUAGCAAAGAUUUACCUCUACUUCUUGUAUUCACUGGUGCUACAUAGAAGCAUAUGCACGAGAAUAAAAGAAAAUUAGGUGAGUGACAAUAUCAAGUCUUAGUCUAAUUGGUUUUGAGUUGAUUAUGAAUUUAUGAUCCUAUUUUUGUUUGUUUUUUUUUUUUUUUUUUUUUUUUUUUUUUUGUUCCCACUCCUAUUUAUUUAUACAAUAAUAAUAAAUAAGUGAAGUCCAAAGUUUGACGUGACUUUUAAAGCAGUAUCAUAAGAGCUCUAUUAGCUGGUGCAUUUCCAAAAUAAAUUUAUAUAUAGCUUCUGUACUUAGUCAAAGAAACGAAAAUAUUCUUUAAAAAAAUUAACGGAAAAUAAAAUUUCCAGCAUCAUAAAAAGUGAAAAUAAAAAUUAGUUAUUUAGAGCAAUUUAACUUUUUUUUAAAAUAAUACUUGCAGGGAAUUAUCCAAAUUAGACUUUUUAAUGAGCUAAAUUUUUAUCUUUUAUUUUAAAUUUUUACAUUAGUCUUUCUUGCGUGCAUGUGAAAUAUAUUUCUCGGCCUAUUUUCUUAUUCUAUAUUUUCAAAGUAAAUAUAACAAUUAUUUUUUUUGCAUAUUUCUAAUUCAAAUAAUGCGGUUUUGUGAUGGCUAAAAUUCUACAUAAAUAUUGAAACUUUUUUUUUCUCGUUUGAUUUAAAAGUUGAAGAAGAUAAUUUUUUUUUUAAAUUUUUUGAACAACAAGUUAAAAGCUUCUCCCUAUAAUCACUAUAAUAAAAACGGUCUAUUGCGACACUUUUAAAUGUAGNGAGCAGACAUUAAAUUUCUACCUUUUAAUUACAUUAAAAAAAAAUCAUACAAAAUAUGUUUUCAUUCGGUUACUUAUUGCGAUAUCUAAACAAAGCCCACAGUUAUCGAUUGUUUUAUAAAGUGUAUAACAUGAGAUCCUGAGGUAAGAUACCAAUAAUAAACUCUUAGUUUCAACCUCAUAAUAUACGAGGGAAACCUCCAGCAGCUAAGGUUUUUAGUAUAAUCGGUUGUUUCACAAUAGCACGUAAGAUUGGUUAAGGCUUGCGGAUAAUUAUUACCUUCUCUUGUUCAUUGAUCUAACAACCAUUCUUUUUCUGCAAUCAAUUUCAUUUCUAAUGCUUUGAUUUUAUUGGAAUAAGAUUCACAUGGCAUAUAAUAGAGUCCAAGCAGGUGAGAAAUUUGAGUCCUCUUGAUUUCUAACUAAUUUUGUUGAAAAUGACCAUGAACUGAAAUUCAUACAAAAAUUAUUUUUCCAUCCUUGGAUAUUUGAUAGGAAGCUAAUGACCUUUUUUUUAAUUGGUUAUGUCCGCUAAUUUUUUAUUAUAUUUCUUAUCCCUCCACCAUCGCAACCAAAUUAAACUAACUAUGAGUCGAAAAAAAAAAAAAAAUACAGACAAAUUUAAUUUACAAAAAAAUAAAUAAAUAAAAUAAAUAAAUAUUUUAUAAUCAAAAAUAAAUUCGUAUUUUACUUUUCGUGAAAUAAACAUGCCCUGAAAAAAAAAAAAAAAACUGUCAAGCUCUCAGAAACACUUAUCUGAUAAUUAUUAUUAUUAUGUCACCAUCUUUGAAAACAAAGGCAAGGAAAAUAGAUGGUCUGAGCAAAUUAAGUUUAGUGUCAUGUCGCUUUCAUGGUGAAUUUUUAAAAAGACACGCUUCCGCGUUGUAAACAACACAGUACUCUUGCAUUUUUUUUUUAUUUUUGAGAAAUAGGUAGCACGCUAUUCGUUUUAUUUAUUUUAUUUAGAAAUAAACUUAACUAGAAAUGUGAAUCAAAUUAAAAUUCGAAUUUGGGAUCUCGGGUACCAACCAUCAAAUCCUUUGUCACUUACUCUAGGGACAGUUGGUAGUACCCGAGCAUCUUUAUUACGUGGAUCGGGUGCUCGAGAUGGACCCUGUAUAAAUUUAGACGGUGUCCAUCCAUUAAUUUCCACUUAUAACCAAUCCUUUUUAUUUUUUAAACAGGAUUUAAAAAAAAGACAAAAGUGUAGUGCACUAAAUUGAUUUUAAGACGAACAGUUGGUACGGAAUUUAAAAUAGUUAAAAUAAUAAUUAUUGUAGUUAGCUGCGAACAUCGAAUAUUAGUUAGGCUGUGUUCAAAUUUAUUGCAUUUUAGUGCUCAAUUAUCAACAGAUUUUAAAUAGAAUGUCAUUUUUUCCUUCUUUAUUAUUAUUUUUUUUUAUCUCCCUGUUAUGUCUUAUUUAAUCAAAAUUUUAAGUACAAGCAAAAAUUAUGAUAUCGAAAAGAUUAUUAAAGAAUUUUUUAUAUAUGUCAUCACUGUGUAACUAAAUAAUUGACGAAUUUAUUUUUUUAAGUCAUAUUUUUUGGCGAAUCAAAAAGUUAUUAUGUGAAUUUUAUCUGUAUUACAUCGAAUUUAUAUCGAUAAUAUUUGAAAAAAUAUAUAUUAUGGCACGAAAAUUGAGGUCUUACUGAGCCAAUCAGGGCGCAAGUGGUGUACACCAAUCAGAGCGGUCAAAAAACAGUAACCCGUGUACCCGACGCUCCUAACCCGACCCGUACCGUACCUUCCUCUGAUAAAAAAAAUCUCGCUAUCCCAGCACGUGCCACAACCAGAUCUGGCACGUGCUCCAUCCCCUUCCCCUCUUAUCAAGCUACGGCCCUGCCCAGCACGUGCAUCACACCGAACAGCCCGAUGGACCCGUCCUCCUCGCGCCACGUGUCCGCUACCAACUUGGGAAAUUAUUAGCUGAACCCGGUGUAUGCAUACGCUCCGUAACACCAAACCUUAUAUAUACAUAUAUUUUAAAAAAAUUCAAUUCCAUAAGAGAUGUAACUUAUAAUCGGUAAAGAGCUUAUACAUAAAGAAUCAUUACUUACUUCAUAAAAAACAAAAAAUAAAAAAUUAGUGAUCAAAAUUGUGCAAUGUACGAGAUAUACUUAUACACCGGGCGUAGGUAAUAAUUUCCCGUUGCGACCCCGCACGUACAUCGCUUCGCGUGCCCGUCACGUGCGCGCCUCGUGAAAACCGCCGCUGCGACACGUGGUUUUAGGUCGGCGGUUUUCGGGAAUAAGCGCCCACGUCCUUUUCGAGGAAAAGGGCGUACGCUUUGAUUAUUGCAAACUCUUUGGAUUUUUAUAAUAAUAAUAAUAUAUGUUUUCUCAACCUUAGUUUUUUUUUUUUUUUUUUUUUUUUUUUUUUUUUUUUUUUUUUUUUCCCCCUCCUAUUUAUUUAUACAAUAAUAAUAAUUAAGUGAAGUCCAAAGUUUGACGUGACUUUUAAAGCAGUAUCAUAAGAGCUCUAUUAGCUGGUGCAUUUCCAAAAAUAAAUUUAUAUAUAGCUUCUGUACUUAGUCAAAGAAACGAAAAUAUUCUUUAAAAAAAUUAACGGAAAAUAAAAUUUCCAGCAUCAUAAAAAGUGAAAAUAAAAAUUAGUUAUUUAGAGCAAUUUAACUUUUUUUUAAAAUAAUACUUGCAGGGAAUUAUCCAAAUUAGACUUUUUAAUGAGCUAAAUUUUUAUCUUUUAUUUUAAAUUUUUACAUUAGUCUUUCUUGCGUGCAUGUGAAAUAUAUUUCUCGGCCUAUUUUCUUAUUCUAUAUUUUCAAAGNGAUGGAUAAAAGAACAAUAUCGAAAGUGCGUGAAAUUUGAUUUCUAGGUAGUUUAAAUGGUUUAGAUCAUAUUUAAUAGAGCCGAUCGUCAAUUUGGAAGCUCUAUCAUCGAAAACAACUCGAUAGUAAAAUGCUCCGUUUACUAUCGAGAGUAUUCUAGCUCAACUCUCUAUAUAUAUAUAUAUAUAUGCUGGAAUACUAUCAAUAGUACCAAGUUAUUGGUGCUAUUAGUUUUUUUAGCCUUUGAAUUAAGAAAUAUACGAUUAGAAUGAUAUGCGCCUCCUAGGGUUGAGUGGGUACAUAGUUGGUUGAAUAAUAUAAUCUAACGGGUAAAAAUAAUCAUAGGGGUUAAUAUAACGGCAGAAAAUUUACUAGCACCAAGUGUUUGAUACUAUCGAUAGUAUAGCAGCCGGACUAUAUAUAUAUAUAUAUAGAAUUUGAUGUCACCAUUAAUAUAUUUUAAAAUAUAUUUUCAUAUCUUACAAAUAAACAUUAUCGAUAGAUUUGUUCUGUGUCGGCGGCUUCUAAUUAUGAAGAAAAAAAAUUUUGUGUUUGGAUUGAUAUUCCAUUUAUUCAAAGGACCCAGUUUUUCUCCGCAUGCUCCAAAAUAAAAAAUUUUCCUUUAUGCUUGUUCUGAUAUGAGUUUUCUUCUAUUGUAAAACAGCUAUUUUCCAUGAUAGUUUUAUUGAUGACGAUAUUAAUUAAGCUUCGCAAGUGGACAAUUUCUCGAUCUGGACCCCGCGCUGACACCCAAUGAGAUUAUAUUUUUUGACGCAGCUCAAGACCUGUUCGUAAUUUAGAAGGAUAAAGAUAUGGAUAAGGUUCGGAUUAAAUUUCCUAUCCAUUUCAUUUACGAGUUCGUGAGCAAAUAUGAGUGUCACCUUGACUCAACCCGACCGGUUAAUUAGUAUCUUUGUAGCAACAUUUAGUCUUAAAUUGGAUCAUCAUUGGUCGAACAUGUUUUUAAUUUGAGCUACUCACAAAUGCAUUGGUGGGAACGGAGGGGGAUUUAUCCCCUGUUGGCGGUAACGGAGCGGGAACAAGGAUGCUAAUAAAACACCUGUAGGGACAGAGAUGGGAAAGGGGCCUAUCCCUACCCCGCCGCGUCCCGUUACCAUCAUCUAUCUGUACAUAUAUAUAGUACUUAUUUACUAAAAAUACUUGUGAGAAACAAUUUUAAGAUCGUAAUUUUAAUAGCUAGAUGAGGGUUGAAUAUCCUGUGAAAAUUAGAGUGAGCGUGAAUACACUAUUACUUGUUAUUAAACUGGUUAUUAUAUAGUUAAGAAUGAACGUUACAUUUUAAACCCCUAGCUGAGUUUUUCUUUUUCUUUUUUAAAACAAAAAAAAUUCAACCUAAUGAGAGUCAUAAAUAAUUAAUACUCAAUGAUGUUGGAUAGGAAGCAUAAAUGGCCAUUAUUACAAUUAGCUCUUUUAUUAAUUUCUUUUAGGUAUCUUUACACAUUGGCACGUUCUAAUUGGCGAGGCUAAGUCUAACGACCGAGUACAUAAUUUAAUAUAAUCAUAUACACCAUUAAUAAACAUCCAAUAAUGUUUAUUUUUCCCUCGCGUAAUUAAUGGUCCCAAUACUUAUUUGUUCCACACGCAUACUACAUGUUUAAUUUGGUAUCUAUCAUGAGGCGUAGCUUCUAUGUAGUUGCUACGUCCAUUUCUCUAUCUUGUCCCUACAUUGGUGCUAUCGUCGUUUCUUGUGCUUCGUAAGCUAACCAACUAUGUAUUUGCUUAAAUAUGAACACUCGCAGAAUAUCUAUAUCUAUAUAUAUAUAUAUAUAUACAUACAUAUAUAUAUAUAUAUAUACAUACAUAUAUAUAUAUAUAUACAUACAUAUAUAUAUAUAUAUAUAAAUAAAGCAGGUGGAGUAUUUUUGAUAAUUCAUUGAUAAUUACUUCCGAUAGAAAUGUGAGGUAGUUGAUGCGGAACUUUCGUGCGUACUGCGACAUUUUAAUCAAUGGACCACUUCGUCACAUUCUCAUGAUGCCGGUACCAAAAAAAGUAUUGGGGAGCUAGAGCGAUCUAAACAUUUAAUUCGACGGUAUUUUUUUUAUCUAACUAAACAUCACUAAUAGUGAGAAUAGGAAUGGAGAUACGUGAUGGGAAAGUAUGUGAGUGAGUUUAACCUUUGCGCUGGAAAGGUUUUUUUUUUUUUUUUUUUUUUUAAUCUGCUCUAAAUAUGCAGGUAAACCAAAUAAUAAUAUCAUAAUUUGUAGAAUAAUUUACAGCUAAACUAAUGGAUUAGUACAUGUCUUGAAAAUUUGGGGCGUGAGUGAACGAGCUGAGUUGAGGCCAACUGUCGAUCAGCUCGUUUAUUUCUUUUGAGCUGAAAAAGUGAGCUCGUGACCGAUUCGAUCUUUAUUAAACUAUCAAGCUAAAUUUGAGCGAGAUUUGAGUUGAUGAACAUAAAAAACUGAAACGGACAACAGAUUAAAUUGACAAUCUUUACCGAAAGUAGGAUUCUAGAGGCAUUGAUAAUUUAUCUGAUUUAUAACCCUUUCUUUUCGUACUAAAAAGGGCAAACUCGGAUUAAAAAUAAAAAAAAUGGUAUAUUCAGAGUAAUUUUUAAUAUUAUUGUCAAAAUAGAUAUGUUAUAGCUAAUUAAUAAUGGCUUAAACAUCUUCCAUCUAACAAUAAUAAAAUUUACUUACUUUUGAUAAAUAGUACUAGUAUAGAAUAAUAAUAUAAUUUAUAUAUAUUUAAUUUAAGUAUUAAUCUAGCACGUGCAAGAUCCACGUGCCGGUGAAAGAACUGGACACGUGUACAGCGGACGAGUGAUUUUUUUUCCCAUGCGCCACGCCUCUUCGUUCGUAAUCAUUCCCUGGCACAGUGUUGGAACUGCUAAUAAAUAGGCGAAGAAUCUUUUUCCCAUAAAAGGCAAAAUAAUGAUUUUAAAAAAAAAGAAAAUGAGAAAAAAAAUAUAUAUAUAUAUAUAUAUUUACGUUGUCACAUGUCACAUGCUUCUUCUAUCCUCGACGAUCCGCUCACCCGUCGCCCUCGUCGACGCGAAUUUACCAUUUUGCCCCUCUGACGCCGCGUUCGCCCCAUUACUCGGUCGCCAAAUCCUCGCCGAGUAUUUGCCGAGUAGUAUCGUAUUUUCAGCUCCUCGUUGUUUUUNAUAUCUUUGAUCAUCGUUAGACGACACAAAUUAAACUCGGAAACUAUAAAUGUACAUAAGUAUGAAUUACUAUUGAAAGAGUGGUUAUAGAAAACCUAAUUAAGUCUACCAUGUGAAGUUGUAAUGUAAAUGAAUCAAGCACCUUUUUAAUUCGAGUAAUCCAAUGAAUCUGCUCUAUCAAAAUAAAUGAGAUCGUUUUUGCUCCCUUAUAAUAUCAGUAAACUAUUUGAAAUUUAUUAUUCUUCAUACUAUUUAAUUUUAAACUUAAAGCAUAUCUAAUCUUUUUAACCUUGUAAUGUAUAGCUAGGGAGAACAAGCAAUCACAUUUGAAUACCUCACUAGAAGAAAAUGUUCAAUUUAAGUGAUUAGAAAGAUAUUAUUCAUUGGCCAUAAUAAAUACCAUAAUUAAUUCAAACUCUUUUCCAAAGUUAUUUAAUGUUAGUGCAUAGUGACACCCUUGUGCUAAGAUAUUUUAUCUUUGUCAAAGCAUUCAUGUGGGGCAAGUAACCCAUUAUCUUCUCACCAAAUUGGGGCUUAAUCAUAUAUAUUAACAAUAAGUUACAUGGUUAAUUAAUUCGUAGUUGUUCAUCCUUCAUAUUCAAUUUGGAUAUUGGUCCUAGAAAAAGGUUAAAACCUACUAAGACAUGUGCACUUAAUAUAUAACCAAUUUGAUCUACUAUUAUAUAUAAAGCUUAUUAAUGAUAGUUAAAACAAGAAUCUAGGGUGACCAAAUCAAAUUAGAAUAUUAUUGCAUUAAUUAUAAACAAAGGUGAUAGAUGACACCUCACUACAUCUCUACCCAUACCCAUAGGAACAAGCAAAACCGUGAUUUGUAUUAAACAUCACGAUUCUAAGUGUGUUUGACGAAAUUAUUCCUCGAUUAUUUAUUCAGCUCGGAGAAUUAGAUACACUUCUCAACCAUAUAACUUCAUUAUCAUAAAUAGAGAAAUAUAAUGAACCAACUGAUUAAUUAAUGGAAAACUAUAUGAUCUAAGCCCUCUAAUAGAAUAAUUAAAGUGGCACUAAGUAAUGGAGUUGACUCAAGCUAGCUAGAAAAUUAUAAAAGUCGAUAUAUUUUAUAUGAACUUUUUUUUUUGGAGGUAUAAGGACUUAUGUUGUAUAUCUAGUCUAGUCAAUCAGUGCUUUGUAAAAUCGCGCCAAAAAAUAAAAUAUAUUUUUUAAUUAUUUGAUAUGCUAUAUAUAUUUAUCAACAUAUUAUUUGAAUGAGAUGUAACUUUUCAUAAAAAACUUUAGCUAUCAACAUAUAUAUAUAUAUAUAUAUAUAUAUAUAACGAGCUCAACUCUUGUAUUUUUCUUUUCCAUGGGAAACUCAAUGAUUGAGCACGAGUUGUAUUAAGGAAAAACAAGAUACACAGUAAAAGAAGUUAUUGAAUCUCACUAAUUUUUUACUUUUUUUUUCAGGAAAAUUAAUCGGAAAUGGUAAAUCUGAAAUAUCUUUGAUCAUCGUUAGACGACACAAAUUAAACUCGGAAACUAUAAAUGUACAUAAGUAUGAAUUACUAUUGAAAGAGUAGUUAUAGAAAACCUAAUUAAGUCUACCAUGCGAAGUUGUAAUGUAAAUGAAUCAAGCACCUUUCUAAUUCGAGUAAUCCAAUGAAUCUGCUUUAUCAAAAUAAAUGAGAUCGUUUUUGCUCCCUUAUAAUAUCAGUAAACUAUUUGAAAUUUAUUAUUCUUCAUACUAUUUAAUUUUAAACUUAAAGCAUAUCUAAUCUUUUUAACCUUGUAAUGUAUAGCUAGGGAGAACAAGCAAUCACAUUUGAAUACCUCACUAGAGGAAAAUGUUCAAUUUAAGUGAUUAGAAAGAUAUUAUUCAUUGGCCAUAAUAAAUACCAUAAUUAAUUCAAACUCUUUUCCAAAGUUAUUUAAUGUUAGUGCAUAGUGACACCCUUGUGCUAAGAUAUUUUAUCUUUGUCAAAGCAUUCAUGUGGGGCAAGUAACCCAUUAUCUUCUCACCAAAUUGGGGCUUAAUCAUAUAUAUUAACAAUAAGUUACAUGGUUAAUUAAUUCGUAGUUGUUCAUCCUUCAUAUUCAAUUUGGAUAUUGGUCCUAGAAAAAGGUUAAAACCUACUAAGACAUGUGCACUUAAUAUAUAACCAAUUUGAUCUACUAUUAUAUAUAAAGCUUAUUAAUGAUAGUUAAAACAAAGAAUCUAGGGUGACCAAAUCAAAUUAGAAUAUUAUUGCAUUAAUUAUAAACAAAGGUGAUAGAUGACACCUCACUACAUCUCUACCCAUACCCAUAGGAACAAGCAAAACCGUGAUUUGUAUUAAACAUCACGAUUCUAAGUGUGUUUGACGAAAUUAUUCCUCGAUUAUUUAUUCAGCUCGGAGAAUUAGAUACACUUCUCAACCAUAUAACUUCAUUAUCAUAAAUAGAGAAAUAUAAUGAACCAACUGAUUAAUUAAUGGAAAACUAUAUGAUCUAAGCCCUCUAAUAGAAUAAUUAAAGUGGCACUAAGUAAUGGAGUUGACUCAAGCUAGCUAGAAAAUUAUAAAAGUCGAUAUAUUUUAUAUGAACUUUUUUUUUUGGAGGUAUAAGGACUUAUGUUGUAUAUCUAGUCUAGUCAAUCAGUGCUUUGUAAAAUCGCGCCAAAAAAUAAAAUAUAUUUUUUAAUUAUUUGAUAUGCUAUAUAUAUUUAUCAACAUAUUAUUUGAAUGAGAUGUAACUUUUCAUAAAAAACUUUAGCUACUAACAUACAUAUAUAUAUAUAUAUAUAUAUAUAUAUAUAUCAAGUAAAUGGAUGCCAUACAACAUGCUCCUUAUAUAUGUAAAUAUUAAACUCUUAAUGAUCAAUAAGAAAAUGAAAAAGAGACCACUUUGCCAACUAGAGGAAAUAAAGGCAUCGUUGAGGGGCAAAUAAAAAAUAAAUAGGUGAUGAUCAAAAAAUUAACAUGUGUGGCUAACACCCAUUUUAUGGGUGUUUGUGUUUAACUAAAUUAAUGAGAAAAAUGGUCACAUGGUCACCUCUUGAAAGAUUUAAGUAAUAAUUACAUGUUGCGAUCGUGCGUGAUUGUUUAUAGAAUAAGAUCUAUCAACGGUGCGUGGUCAAUAAGAACGAGCACGUCCGUUGCUUUUUAAUUAGAAGGAUAUUACUUUUAUUUUAUUUAUUUUACUUGGAUUUGAGAUGUGCAUCCAAUCAUUUUUCUCCUUCUCUCUUCCUCUCUCUUCAAAACUAUGGGGUGUAGAUCCAAGAAGUGAAAUGAACUAUAAUACUUAUAAAUUUGAUAUAUAUAUAUAGAGUGAGGCUACUAUGCUAUCGGAAGCACGGAGCCUUCCGUGCUUCCAGCUCGUUUUCGAUGUUGUGACUUUUGAAUCGUCGAUCGGCUCCGUUAAACUUGAUCUAGAGUAUUUGGAGUACCUAGAAAAUAAAUUUUAUUAUUUUUCGAUUUCAUUUGCCUAGUGAUCGAAUGGGCUCAAAAUCAACAAAUUUCAACGGCCGUAGUGAGCCGUUUGCAAGUUUAACGGUGUAGAAAUAUCCAAAUCACGUGAAAUUUUGAUAGAAAAUUCUUUAUACUAUAUAAAACAAGAUCAAUAUCUUUGAUUUAAAAUUUUAAUGUCAUAUUAUUANNNNNNNNNNNNNNNNNNNNNNNNNNNNNNNNNNNNNNNNNNNNNNNNNNNNNNNNNNNNNNNNNNNNNNNNNNNNNNNNNNNNNNNNNNNNNNNNNNNNNNNNNNNNNNNNNNNNNNNNNNNNNNNNNNNNNNNNNNNNNNNNNNNNNNNNNNNNNNNNNNNNNNNNNNNNNNNNNNNNNNNNNNNNNNNNNNNNNNNNNNNNNNNNNNNNNNNNNNNNNNNNNNNNNNNNNNNNNNNNNNNNNNNNNNNNNNNNNNNNNNNNNNNNNNNNNNNNNNNNNNNNNNNNNNNNNNNNNNNNNNNNNNNNNNNNNNNNNNNNNNNNNNNNNNNNNNNNNNNNNNNNNNNNNNNNNNNNNNNNNNNNNNNNNNNNNNNNNNNNNNNNNNNNNNNNNNNNNNNNNNNNNNNNNNNNNNNNNNNNNNNNNNNNNNNNNNNNNNNNNNNNNNNNNNNNNNNNNNNNNNNNNNNNNNNNNNNNNNNNNNNNNNNNNNNNNNNNNNNNNNNNNNNNNNNNUAUAUAUAUAUAUAUAUAUAUAGCUGUACUGGGCUAUUAUUAGUAGCAAAAUUUUAUUGUUGCUAUCAGUUUUUUAGCCUUUGGAUCAACUCUUUUCAUUAUUUCUAACCAUUAGAUUAAAUACUAUAACCCAGUGGUGAUCACUCAACCCUAGAGGGACCACUCAACUCUAACCGACUAAUAUCAUCCUGACCAUACAAUUUUUUAUCCAAGGGUUAAAAACUUGAUAGCAAAAAGAACAUUUUACUAUUAAUAGUAUUCCAGCCUAAUUAUAUAUAUAUAUAUAUAUAUAUAUAAAGACAACAUGAUAUAAUAUUAUUAUAUAAAUAAGUAUCAAACCAAUUUAUUGAAAGAUAAAUUUACUAAUAUUUUAAAAUGUCAAAAUAUAUUUUACUGACGCUUAUCAUAAGUGUCGAUAUAUACGUGAUAACUCUUUAUUUGCAGGCAUUUUGCCGACGCUUUCAAAUGUGAUAAUAGACUUUUUUGAAACGCUCUUAAGCACCGUUAAAUAAAUGUCAAAAAUAUAAUCUUAAAUAUUAAUAUCCUCGUAGAAUAAAGCCUCUCAGAUAUUGCUAUGAACCAAAAUUGUUAUGUAGCGAGCUCACAGUAUUAUUUUAACCUUAAAAAUUUUGCAAAUAAAAUCCAACUAAAAAAAUAUUGACUGUGUCAAUAUAUAAUAGAUUCUAAUACCUUGUAGGCUACUCAAUGCGUUACUCUUUUGGCGAUGGGUAAGUUUAGUAAAAGCAGGUUCCGAUCUCCACCAUCCGCAUGAUAUUAGUAAAAAUAGUUAAAUGAGUAAUUAAAUAUCCCUCCCCCACAAUUCAAAAUCAACUCCGUGAGUCAUUAAAUUAAUUAAUCUCAUAAUUACCUUAAUCACACACACCCCCCGGGCCCCACUGGCUUAAUUAAUGAUAAUCAAUUGUUAUCCCCGCAGCAUUCACCACGUGAAACCCAUCGAAACCCGCGCGCCCGCGCCGCGAUCGGACGGUCCACAAUGCCCCUCUCCAAAUCGCCGAGGAAUCGCCGAUUGGUCGCCCCGCGCGGCGCGGACACGUGUCGAAACGCGGGGGGCAUGGCGCGCGCGGCCCCACGUGCGCGCGAGCGUGGAAUUCGUGUGCCCCACGUUGGCGGUUAGAAUCGGCGUGACGGACGAGCCGGUAAAUCGGCAGGUGCUGCACCCGGUGGGGCCCGCCCUAAUCCGACGGCUCAGAUUCAUCUCACGUGGGCCCCGCCCCGCGGAGCAAUAAUAGCCACCGAUUGGGAGUCGGUUUCUUUUGGCGUGCUUUUUCUACGCGGUUAUAUAAUAAAAUAAUAUAUAUAUAUAUAUAUAAUAUAAUAUAAUAUAAUAAUAACACCAAUUCAUAAAUAAAAAAAUAAAAAAAAUAACUCGAUAAAACGAAAAGAAAAUGGGGGCUUUGUGUUUGGGGUUUAUUAUUCGUGGAGAGAGGGGAAGAGGAGUAGAAGAGGGCGAAGAGUAGGGUUAGCGAAGAGGAAGGGGAAAGAGGAGAGGGGGACCUUGUAGGUGUAUUUUGGGAAGGGCCUUUUCUCUGUUUCUUUUUCUUUUUUUCCUUGUUGUUCUCCUUUCGUGAGGAGUAGGGGCUUUUUGACAAGGGAAUUAGGCCUCGUAGGCGAAGUAUUUUGAAGGUUUGUAGGGGAUGGAGCGGGAUUUUUUGGGAAUAAAUGGGAAGGAAUCGGCGCCGUCGGUGAAGGAUGAUGGAAGAGUCGCUCGGCAAGAUCCAGGUAAAUAGGUGUUUUUUUUUUUUUUUCCUCUCAUUUUUGUUGAUUAAUUAUCGUUCCCGAAUUGCUAAUUCGUUUGAUUUAAUUAAAUUUGUUGUUAGAAAUUUUUUUGAAUCAAUUUUUAGGGUGUUCUUGGUGAAAAAGAUUGUUGCUUUAAUUAAAUUUGUGGUAACUUCACCUAGAUUUCGUAUAGGUUCCGUUUUUAUCCUUUCCCCUGAUUUAUUUCCUUAUAAAGGGUCUGUGUCUACAGAGUAUUUUUCUUUAGGGUUUGUUGGCGCAGCAGCUUUUGUUCGUUUCCCAAAAUGCCCCUGGUUAAUUUAUUCCGAUGAAGAAACGUGAUGUUUGUUGUGGUAGCAGUUUACAUUUUUUAUUUUUUCCCCCUGCAAUUUGAAGUGAGAUCGCUUUAUAUGUUUCUUAUUGUAGAUUUGUUGCCUUUUAUAGUUGAUGUGCUACCACGAAUAUGAUGUUUGUUAGCGUCAUAUAUUUGUUCUGACUUUUAUGCAAUUGCUUGUAAUGGUAGAGAUUGGGAAUUAGGUUUGGUAUAUCUUUCUAUUACAAGGCCUGUACUGUAUCCAAAAUCAUGUCUUAUUUUAUUUUUUUUGUUUGCAGUAUAUUUGGUAUGUUUUUGUUGUUAUGCAAUUCCUUAGCCAAGGUUAAGAAGAUUCGAUGAAAAUCGGAGGAAAGAGUCCUUUAGAGAAAAGGGCUAACGAUUCUCUCUUGGAUAGAAGGAUUUUUUUGUGAAUUCUUUGUAUUUGUUGCGUAAUUUUGAUUUAAUUUUGGUUUCGCAUGUAUCCGUCGUUCAUUUUCAGUCAGAAUAUUGAAAUCAACAAUUAUUGUAUCUUUUGAACAUUGUACAGUUUGAAUUUUUUUUUUUUUGUUUUUAAUCUUGUACUUCUCUCAUUAAUUUACUCAAGUCAAUGAAAGAGAAUUUUCUUAAAUGUUGUGUUAUUACAUCGCGUCGUUUAAUAUGAGACGUAGAGUUAAUGUUUGUUGUGGAUUAAUGGUAUAUAUAUUUUGACUUAUUGUAUUUGGCUCUUUGAUUGUUGGAAAUUUCUCUGACCAUGUGGAAGAAUCAGAUUCAAGUUAUCUUUUCCCAUGUUUCGCAUAUUAUUUGGUGACAAUUUACACACGUCUGUACUAUUGUCUGCUUCUGAUUCGUAUAUCUCUCUUGUACUUCAGCCGUCUUUGGAGGUUCGGCCAUACAGUGGCCUUUCUCGAGCAAGGUCUCUCCUGUGCCUGCAUUCAUGCCUUUCAGAGCCGCCCAAGAACAACAACCGAAAAAGCAUGUAUUUGAUCAGUUCCCCUCAUCUGGGUUUCAGCCUAUAUCCACAGUCGAUGCCUUUGAGGCGGCCAAUCAGAAGUCCUCCCCUGUAUUGGUUCCUCAGGUCUGCAUAGAUCACCAACUAGUUGAGCUCUUUUCCAUUUUUCUUUCGUCGAUCAAAAAUAUCAAACUGAUUGAGCUACAUCUCUUGAGCUUACAGAAAGCCUUCGGAAUGGAUAGACAUGGCAUGCAACAAUAUUUAUAUGCUUAUCAACAUCAAGGCAGUGACUCUCUUGGUGCUUCCGCUCACCAAAUGAAUCGUGCUAAAGCGUUUCCUGUUGUCUCUCAUCAUCCCAUCCCCGUCGGCAGCCCUUUCUUCAAGCUUCAGAGCUCGACAGAUUCACCUAAUAUCACUGUUACACCAUUAAAGCAGCAACCUUUUGGAGGAGGAACUACUGUGAACGCCCCUGUGGCGGGUUCUGUUGUUGGGACCUUAGCUCCAAGGUAUACACAGUACUGAGAUUUCAUUUGGUAGAAUUCUGUGAUGAUUUUUUGAUGAAACCGACAUUAAUAUAAAACUGGUUUCUUUUUGAAAAGGAACAUGCCUAAGUCAUCUCUGGCGCAACUGACCAUCUUUUAUGCUGGUGUUGUCAAUGUGUUUGACAACGUCCCGCUGGAUAAGGUAUGACUUGUUUGUAUUGAAUGAAGUAUCGGAAUAAUGGAUGAGGUAUAGAUUGUGAGCUGUUGUUGAUUGGAGUUGCUUUCUACAGGCGCAAGAACUUAUGUUAUUUGCAAGCAAGGCAUCUAACACUACUGCAGUUUCUGCGAGUCCUAAAUCGGAUCCUGUGAUACCUGCUGCAGUGAAAUUAGUGGAUUCCGAGGGGUUAAAUACGAAACAGCCACCGACCCAGAAGCGAAGUCAUGUUGCACCACUUAACUCGAGCCUGUCGAGUCCAGUAUCUGUGGCAUCACAAGGUGGGUCUCUCUCUAAGAGUGCUUCUAGCUCCAAUGAUGAUUCUAUCAGGCCUAAGUCUGCAGGCCCAUUGCCUCCCAGCAAGCAGAAUGAAACUUCGACCACUCUCCCUCCUGCACUAGGUGCUACAACUGCUGCAACUAUCAUGACAAGAGGUAUUUGUUGCACUAUGGCUUUCUUAUACCAUUUUCUCCCCUUUUCACAGUUACCUUGCAAAUUUAUCUAGGUGGAGCAAGGAAACUAUUGUCGAUCUCUGCUUUUCUUCUCCUUUUUUUCCAAUAUAAUUUAUCUAACAGCCUUUGGAAUGUGAGUGGACUGACUGAAUUGGUGGUGGGUUAUUUGACUGCAGCUGUUCCGCAGGCUCGAAAAGCAUCCCUUGCUCGAUUCUUGGAGAAACGCAAGGAAAGGUAGGAGUUUCUUGCAUUCUGAAAAGCUCUCUCUUUUGUAUCUAGCGCCUUAACUGGAAUGUCAAUAAAACAUCUGUUGAUGAGUAUGGCCAUAAUUUACCAGUGAUAUUGUGAAUAUGAACCAGGAGGAUAUCAAAUUGCUUAAUUUUAAAUUGGCUGGUUUACUGGGGGGAAAAUUUUAAAAAUAAAAAUUUAAAACAAAUGUGUGGCGAAAUUAGCAGGGGCAUGCACACGCAUAUGCACACGCCUGCAUGCCAUAAUGUGUGCAUGCGCACACGCGCACACACAGUUAUGUCUGUGUCUCUGCUUGUGAUUCAGAGGUUUCACAGAACAUGUGAAACUUUUAUUUUGAGAGAUACAAAGAAGCCAAGAAGCUGGUACACGAAAAGCUUGAUUAGAUAGUUGUAAAGUUUUUCUGGUAUCCUUUCUUCUAGCAGUAUAUUGAUAGUUAUUUCCUGCUCUCUGAGUCGAGAAAGAUAAUUUUUUGGCUUAAUUUUGAUAGAAAAGAUUUCGGUCUGUCAAUAUGGUUCGAAGGGUUCAUCCACACUUUUGUGUGUAGAAGAAGCUGAUCAUUCUCUUCCUCAUCCUUUGCAGGAUGACCAAUGCAGUGCCUUAUGCUUGCGCCAAGAAACCCUCAGAGAAUGCUGAUGGAUUUGAGAAUAGCGUUAUGCCUAGCAAAUCUUCGUCGACUGAUAUCACUCUAUCAAGCAAUUGCGAGGAGUCAUGGAAUUUGGCCCAAGCCAAGAACAGCAGUCACAGUGCGGAUUCCCCAAGUACUAGGUUAGAGAUUUAAUUGUUGUCUAUAUACAUAUUCCAUUAGCCCCUCAUAUUAAAUGAAACCGAAGUUUGGCCAAUAUUUCGCCGACAUUCUCAACUGGGCUCUUUAAAUAUUGGAUUAGCUAUUUUGUCAUAGUAUGUAUGUAUCGUUGGGCAGAUCUUUUAUAUAAAUGAAUGUUAUGUAGCAUUCCAACCGCUAACAAGCGUACUGUUCUGUUCUGUAACACAACGAUUAUUUUUGUCCUCCAUUUUCAUAUUGUAUUGCAGUAAUAGUAUUUAAUUGUUCCGUUAUUCUACUGUCGCUCUACUUUCCGUGAUGACACUGGUGGUGCUCCGCCGAGGUGACAACCGAUCCUUAUCCUCUUUGUUAAGCAGUUCAUAGAACGAGCGAAAACUACUUUUCUUUUCUUUAUUUUCUUGUGCCGAGGCAUCUCUAUUUUGCUGCUUGUUUCAAAUGGAUGAUGUGUAGCUUCUCUUUCUGUUACUCCGGGGUACGCUUUUCAAAUUUGACUUUUGAUUUUGGGCUUUUGUUGCCUUGGAUCAAUUGAAAAUGUUUGUCCACAAUUUAUGCACACACCUUUGAGGGCUACCAAAGAGGUUGCAAUGCAUAUUGCAGGGACCGUAAUUCUGUCUCAUCAAUGAAAUAAUGUCGCAUUCACCUGAGUAAAUCAUAACCUGCACAUAACUAUGAAUUCCAAGGCCACGAUAUUCUAAAAAUGGUUUUUUUUUUUUUUUUUUUUUUUUUUUUUUUUUUUGGCGAGUAGGGAUGAUCUGAAAAUGUUGGGAACCAGGUUUGUAACGUGACUGUGAAUUAAUGUGUAAUAAGCUUUUUCCAGAACCUUGGGCUUUACUGAAGUUUUUGAUGUUUGGAGUCUGAUCACGCAAUUUUUUUAAAAAAUUUAUUCAGAGAAGGAAAGCGAACUAUCGGAUCUCGAAUAUCAAUCAAGCACGUAGACAAGUGCAUCGGGCACGGUCAUUGAUUACACAAUAUUAAUAUUUCAACUAAAAAUUUCUUUUCGACUUGCAAAACACCUUAGGUGGCAAGAGUAUCCAUAAUAAAACCAUACGUGAAAGUUCAAUUAAUUGUUUUAUUUUUUCAUUUUCCUUCUACUUUUGAUCAUAAAAUUUAGUGCGAACACAAACCCGACUCGCCGAGCCGAAACCCGGCCACCCGACCCCGUAAACCCAAUAACACCAACUCGACCCGCACCAAACCUAACAAUAAUAAUAAUAAUAAUAAUAAUAAUAAUAAUAAUAAUAAUCUCUGCACUCAGCGGUUUAACCCGCCGCCGUCGUUCCGCAGGUAGGAAGACGGAGAGGCGCUGCUGCAGCGGAGAUGGAGGCGCAGAAAGUGGAGCAGCUGCAGGCCUUCGUGGCCUACUGCCGAUCCAACCCCUCCGCCCUCCACCACCCCUCCCUCUCCUUCUUCACGGACUACCUCCACAGGUUCCCCCCCUUUUUUUCACUAUUCUUUUUUCACUUCCUUUUCCCUCCCUCUCUCUCUCUCUCCAUCUCUCUCUCUAAUUAAUUCAUUAAUUAAAUUAAUUAAUUCAUUAAUUAAUCAAUUGGAUCCUCGGUUUUUUGCAAAAAAAAAAAAAAACACAGCCUCGGCGCUCGGAUUCCCCCCGACCCUACACCGGUGAGUGCUUCUUCCUCGCUUUGCUCGGGGCUUAUUGCUGGUGUCCAUGUGACUCGGUUGGUUGGUUCCCAUUUGAGUCUCCCUAUACGAUGCCUGCUUCUUGUCUUUAAUCGUGAUCUUAAGAUACUUAAAAUGAUGUUUAAAACAUGGCGUGUAAAAUUACAUUUUUAUUAGUUCUAGGUCGCAAGAAAGAUGCGACUAGUUUCUGCUCCUCCUUUCAUUUCACAGGCCCAGCGUUUUUGCUGAUACGUAGCUGUGUACUACUUAGUGGAUCUUCGUUUUCGAUCGAUUUUGCAGGGCCACAUGAAAAUGGAAAGCGACAGCGGCACCGCGGCGGCUGAAGAAGAUUACGUUGGCGAAAAAUUCGACCGGGCUGCCGAGAGCGCCGGCGACGAGGACGAGAUUGUGGAGUCAGAUUUAGAAUUGGAUGGCGGCGAACUGGUGGUACCCGACGACGACGAUCCUCCCCAGAAGGUUUUUUAUUGACAAAAUUGAAUCCAAAGAACGGCGGCUCAACUGAUAAUGAUCUCAUUCAGUUAAUAUAGAAUUAUGCUUUUCUUUCCCUUUUAGAUGGGGGAUCCUUCUGUUGCAGUUUCUGACGAGAGCCGCGAUGCUGCUCAGGCGUGCAAAGCAAAAGCGAUCGAUGCCGUAUCUGAAGGCAGGGCGGUUUUAAUUUUUCUUUUUAAAAAAAUUUGUCUUGCAGAUCGCCAUUUUCUACUUGUAUACUUCAGCAAAUAUGUUUAGAAUUAAACAUUGUGGAUAAUAGGUAAAUUGGAUGAAGCUGUUGAGCAUCUGAGUGAGGCUAUCUUGCUUAAUCCAACUUCAGCUAUCCUCUAUGCAACCAGAGGUAACAUUCUUUAAUAAUUUCACUCGAUUAAUUUGAAUACAUUUCAUUUUAACCUCCGUGCCCGCUACUCUGUAGAGCCUGAAAAGAUGGCAAAAAAAAUGAGAAAGAAGCUGUGCCGCAGCAUAUCAUUUGCGUCAUAUUCAUCUCUCUGUAAUCAUCUGUAUUUCUUUGCAGCAAGUGUUUUUGUGAAGCUGAAGAAACCUAAUGCAGCUAUUCGAGAUGCAGAUGAAGCGCUGCAGGUGUUGAUCGCAAAAAUAUGUCAUCGUUCAUAUUUAGUGGGUUAUUAUUAUUACAUUGAAAUGGUGUUAAAUUUGUAGAUCUUGUUUGCUAAUUAAAUUUUCUGCAUAGAUAAAUCCCGACUCUGCGAAAGGAUAUAAAUCACGAGGGAUGGCGAAAGCUAUGUUGGGACGGUGGGAAGAGGCUGCUAAGGACCUGCACUUGGCAUCGAAGUUGGACUUUGAUGAAGAAAUAGAUUCAGUGCUUAAAAAGGUGGUACUAAGUUCUCAAAGUGAUUCAAGCUUCUUCUUUUUUUCUUUUUUUUUUUCUUUUUAUAAUAAAACAAUCUGUAUGUAUACAGACUUAUCGAAUGGUUGUACAUUGCAAUCUGCAGGUUGAGCCAAACGUGCAGAAAAUUGAGGCCCAUCGCAGAAAAUAUGAACGCUUGAGGAAAGAGAGGGAGAUGAAGAAGGCUCAACUUGAAAGGCAACGAAGGCGUGCUGAGGCAGAGGUAUAAUCGUAAUCAGAAAAUUCCUCGCCUUGAAAGUUUUUGUUUGAUUUGGUAAUGUAAGCUAACUUUGUCUCAGGCUGCAUAUGAGAGGGCAAAAAAGGAGCAAACUGCGAGAAGUAAAGCUUCUGUAAGUUUUCCAUUGGUCUUGGUCUCGCACAAUUUUGCUGAACCCACUCUUUCCUAUCUAGUUAAGGACUUAAAAUACUCUAGUAAGAAACAUACUGCAGUAUUGAUGAACCCAUUGCUCCUAUCAAUAGGAUCCCGAGGUUAAUGAUCCUGCUGCCGCCGCUGCUUUACAAGAUGGUAUGGUUGAUUUUCUUGUCCCUUCUCACUUUAAAGUUUCCUUUUUGUUCUGAGCACUUAUUAAAUCCUUGUUAUGUAAUUCAAGCAUAAUUUUUAGAUUGUUAUUAAAUAGUGAUAUCUGCUGAAUCUUUAUGCCAUUAUAUCUGCCAUCUGUAGACUCUUUAGGCGGCGAUUUAGAUGUUACCAAGGUUAUUAUUUCCACGUAUCAUAUAUUCUGAUACCUCGUCUUAUUUGAAGUAAUUCUAUUGUGAGAUUAUGAAGCGUCUACACAUCUCAUAUGCUUCGGUUGGCAGGAAAUGUUAUCAGCAUCCACUCAUCAAGUGAACUGGAAACUAAGUUCAGGGCUGCAUCGAACUUGUCUAGACUGGUCAUCCUAUAUUUCACAGCGACAUGGUGUGGGCCUUGCCGCUUCAUGGCACCGCUCUACAAAAGUCUAGCAGAAAAGCACCCAAGAAUCGUGUUUCUGAAAGUUGAUAUAGAUGAAUUAGGCGAUGUUGCUCAUCGCUGGAACGUCAACAGCGUGCCAACAUUCUUCUUUGUGAAAAAUGGCAAAGAGAUCGACAAGGUUGUCGGUGCUGAUAAGAAUGGCCUUGAGAGGAAGAUUGCUCUUCAUGCUGGAGGUAUAUGAGCGAUUGAUCUAUAUCAUGCUUUUUUUACUGUGUCUAUAUUUAUACAGUCUAAAAAGGUGUUUAUGUGCUGCUCGAGCGGGUAUACUUGAUGUGGUACAAAUUCUAAUCGAGUUUUCUGUGUACUGUAAAGACAGAUUUUGUUUGGUUUGACUUUUAAAAUUUGCAGUUUAUGAAGGGCAGGUUCUCUAUAAUGAAUGUGAUUAUGCGGUUAUGUGCCCUUGCUUAUAUGACCUGAUGAGAGCAUAUUAUCGUCUUUUCAUGAUGUAAAUUUUUAACUGAGAGCAUAGAGUUUCUGCAGCUCUGAUGCGAACGAAAGCUCUGGCAUUGAAUUAUAGCAGCAAAUACGACACUUUGACCAAUUGUUACCAAACAUUUCUCUUUUGUAAAUGUGCCGUACAAUUAAUUUGCUUGAUGAACAUCGAUAGAAGAUUACAGUAACUGAUAAACUAUGAAUUUGAUAACUCGAAGUGGAGUAAAGUAAUCCUUACUUUCAUUUCCUCUCGUUCUUGGAGUAGAAUCUGAGAACCAGGUAGAAGAAGAGCCUGUAGAGCACGCCCCAGGCGAGUAAUAUGGCAACGUCGGUCCACACGCUACCUGAGUGUAUGUCCAUGGUGGUGAGCACGUCCUGCCCGAUCAACGGGCAUGUUGAGUUGAGCUGCUGGUGAAGAUCGCUAAUCUUAAGAUCUCCUAGCGGCCCUGGCGAGAGGUCGCUGAAGCUGCCGAAGUAGCAGCGUCCGCCCUUGAACUCGUUUGUGAGCAGCGCCUCGAACGGGUACUUGAUUGCUGACAAGUAGUGCAGCCACUGCCAGUACUUGGGGAUCUGCGACCGCUUCAGGAAGAAGCCACACGUCAGGAAGAAGAGCGCGGUGGUGGCAAUCACGACAGCAUAGCCCGUGAUGUAACUUGGCACCAGCGCGCUCACAAGCAUCACGUAGCCAUUGGUGGUGAUCAGUGAGGCGUAGAGUAUGAUCCAGAAGUAGAGCACCCUGCUUUUCAGGUGAAGCAUGAGGUUGGUUAUGAUUGCAAAUGUGAAGCCCUGGACCGCGAAGAACGGAAGGUAGACGAGGAGCGAGGAGACGACGUAGGAGGACGCACGGUACGCAUUGUGUGAUGUCUCACGGAUGAAGAUGAAGCGUUCUUGGAUGAAUGUUGGUACCGCGUCGUUGGAAGAGAAGAAGACAAGGCAGACAGAGAAGAUGUAGAAGUUGAGAAGGCGGUUGAUUGUGGUGAAGUCAUCAUUGCCAAGGCGGUGGAAGAGAGUGGAGAGGAUUACCCCCAUGACAGUCAGCACGAUCUCGCGGGACAGGAACAGCUCCGGCGUGCGCAUCACGUUCAGCGCCGUGCGCCAUGACAGCACCGCCACCUCACGCAGCCACGGGUUUGCAAACUUUGGCGCGCCGUCGGACGGGUCGUCGAGCGGCUCUAUCUCGUUGUAGUCAUGCUGGUCAAAAAUCGGUGUUGGCGUGUUGAAGACCGGGGUGUCAGGGGACUGAGGGUAAGGGACCGGCGGGGUGGUGAUAUGCCGGGUUUGGUAGUAGUUGGCGACCGGUGUCUUGGCAGGAGUGCGGCCGGGUGUUUGAGCUGGCGUCCAAGAGGGCCGGCGGUGUGGCGUGCGGGUGACGCCGUGGUAGAGCCAAACAGAGAAGUCUUUGUAGAAAUGAGAGGCCAAUCUUGGAUUAUAUGCUCCAUUCACCGAGGGAGUCAUCUGUACCCUUCUCUCAAGAGAAUUAUCGAAGCCACCGUCAUCAUCGUCAUCAUCGUCGUAAUCAUACGACUCGUGAUCAGAAGUCCCGUUGGCUGCUGCCGGGGUCGUGCUGCCAACAGAGAACUGGGUGCUGUUGAGGCAGAUUUGGCGGGGAAGGGUGGAUUUACUGAAAGGAGCUCUCAGUGUCUUGCUGGUAGGUAACUAAUGGCUCGAGCCCGAGGGUCGACUCGUCAUACUCCUUGAUGACAUCAAGGAGGUAUUCGAUGCUGUUCUCGCCAUCCGGGACUUGCCGGCCGAACCCAGCCAGGUGGGCUGGGAGGGCAGUUGGGCUUCCCUGGUAAAUCAAUCUUCCUCUGGACGAAAUUUUAGAAGACAUUUAACUAGACCAUUAAAGUUGGAUCUCUGACGAAGAAAAAGAUGGGGCAAAAAAACAUCUCACAAUAAUCAGAAAUCAGAUGUCUCGAAAGUGCUUUAGCUGGCUCGAAAGUGUACCUUGCAAGGAUGAUGAGUCGGUCGAGGAGCAUCUGAAUCCGAAAAGAAGGCUGGUGGAUUGUCAUUAGCACAAUACUCCCUCCCUUAGCAAUGUCCUUCACCUUCUCCACAACACUAUAAGCACUGGUUGAGUCGAGGCCCGAAGUGGGCUCAUCGAGGAACAGCAACGACGGUUUAUGAAUGAUGUCUAUCCCAAUCGACACCCUCCGCCGCUCGCCGCCUGAUACGCCUCGCCGUCCUUCGUCUCCAAUGUAAGUUUGAGCAGUCGACUGUUAGGAGAUUCAGAAUACUCGUUAAUUAGUUUGUACUGUAUGAUGGCUAAGAGGUUUUAAACUUUUUGAGAACAAAAUCAAAUUCUGAGACCAAAUUUCUAGCUGAUCUCAACAGGAAAAAGUUAGCGCUCUUAAUGUUUGGAUGAAUGGUGUGAUCGAGAAAAAGACCAGAGAAAUCUCCGUAAACCUGCAAACCAAGCUGUUCGAGGAGCUCCCACACUCGCUGCUUCUUUUCGUGCUGAGAAAGCGAAGGUGAUAGCCUGACUUCGGCGGCGAACAUGAACGUCUCGAACACCGUCAGCAUGGGGAAGAGUUGAUCAUCCUGCAUCACAUAUGAUGACACCUUCUUCAUGUAGCUGGUUGUGACCUGAUGAUGAAUAUUUACCCAUGAAAUUCUAUUGCAAUGUAUCUCCCUUCUCUAAUGAACCAUUUCAGGGGUUCUAGAGAACAACAAUUUUAAUAUCUCAAAUUCGACAAAAGAGCGACCAUGAUUUCGGACUAACCGGUCGUCCAUCGAUGCUGACCGAUCCUUCGAGGCUCCCCUUUGCAAUCCUACCCGCCAGUGCAUCGAGAAACGUGGAUUUUCCGGCGCCACUGGGGCCGAGAAUGGCGGUGACUUGCCUACGGAGUGCUUGGCCCGAGAUGUCAUUAAGGAGAUAGGCCGCCUUCUUGAUCUUCACACCAUCUUUCUUCUGCUUCUUGAUGAUACUGUAAGAUAAGUUCUGAAACUCUAACCCCUGGCCCGGGUGCAGCAGCACCUUCUCCGCCGCGGCCGCCGCUUGUUGGUUCGUCGGCUUCUCCUGGUCGAGAAGGCUCUCUAGGCUUCUGUUGGUGUCUGCGCGGCGAAGCGGUAUCUCCGCUGUCCUUCGGCUGCCCAUUAUUUUGCAGAAUUUGGGUCCAAAUUGCAGGGUUUCUGUUUUCUGUUUGGAUUUAAAGAAGAGCAGAGUUUUAUUGUCAUUUAUGAGGAGAUUGUGAAGGCGAUUUGUUUGAUGGGUUAAUGGAAAAAGAGCAUUGGAAGUAUGGAAAGAAACAAGGCUGGUGGAGCUGUCUCUUUGUGUUCUUUGGAGUUUGAUGUUGACCCAGCUUUGUUAUUGCAGGAGAGAUUUGGUGUUUGUUCUUUCGUUGGAAUAGAGAGGGAAAUGUAAUGUGUAUUAUAUAUAGUGUGCCAAUGUUUGUGACAUUAGAGUAACUACAACCAUUUAUAACCAAAAGAGCAUUAGUCCAAUUACAUACCUAGCGGAAGAACAUAAUGUAAUAGUAACUCUUUUGUCGCAAAUUAACACUAAUAUAAUUCAUCUUGAGCCCACCUGUAAAAUUCUUUAUGUUCCACCAUUAUUCUGAGUAGUAGAACCCUCACAGGUUGUGUUAAAACACCUGAAAUGAAUGCAUGAUUUAGCUUCUUAAUACCUCUUUAGAAGGCCUCUCAAAUGCUCAAGUGGAAAGCUGAAAUGAUAUUCUACACUUUUCACUGCAGCAUCGAAACUAAAGAGGUCGUGAAAAAAAAAAAAAAAAAAUGAUAGACAACUUUGUAUAUCCAAAAAUGAGACCUCCAAUCUCACACCCAAUCAUCCAGGAUUUAGAUAGAAGAUUCGCACCCUCGUUUUGGGAAAACAGGUAGCAUUGAUCAGAAAAAAUUGUUACUGCUGCUUCCAGCAGCAGUACUAAAACACCACAGAGUAAUGCACAUUUGCGUGAGCUUCAGAAUUGUAUUUGGAUCAUACAUUUGGAAAGCAGAUUUCAUGCGGAAAACCUUCCUACAUUCAACUCUCCUGUACCACUCUGUUACGCUUCUUGAUAAGAAAUGUCUCUCUGCAGUGCCCUGCUUCUUGUUUAGUUUUUUAAAUUUUACUUGCCCAUUUUGAAUAGGAUAUUUCCUGGUUGCAUCAACAAAGACUCGAAAACAUAGCAAAGGCCACAUCACGACGGAGAAUGAGCGAAGAGAUCUUUCGACAGUACAAAAGUAAAAUAACUGAUAGACUAAAAUAACUGUACAAAAUAGUAAGUGACACUAGAUUUAGUACAAUGUUACGGAAGUCUCAGCACACAAGAGUUACCACUCUUUACUGAACUCCCAGGAUAUGCAACAAAUGCGCCACGGUAGAUUUCUCUUGCGAUCAUAUAAUGUAAAGCAGUCUGAAACCACAUUCAUCCACUUUCACCUCAGUUUGCCGCAAGAUAUCAGCAGCUUUUGCGACAAUCUUUUCUUAUUUUGCUGUUCUUGAGUGCUUGAUAAGCCAGUCGAUGACAACAUCUAUGUUGAUGGAAUCCUUGCACGAGAUCAUAUAACAGCAAACCUCCCGGUCGUUUAUAAACUCUAGACCUCUGCAUUCACAUCAACAGUGAAAUAUUAGUAAACAAUGUUUAAAUAUCUAAACACAAAAUUGAGGAAAGAUAGCCAAUAUUUUCUUUUGCAAUUGAUUCUACACAAGGUAACAGUAAAAAAUAUUGUGAGCCAAACUCACAGUUGAUCAACUAAUGCUUGCUUGGAAAGAGCUUCUGAUUUGUCAAUCUUAUUCCCGAGGACAAGCAAAGGAAUCCCUUUCAAGGAUGGCUUUGUCAGCAGGUCAUGCAAUUCGGCUUUGGCUAUAGGAACGCUAUCCCUGUCAGCAGCAUCUACUACGUACCUGCCAUGAUUAAAGAAUGUUAAUGGGAACUAACAUCUGAUACCAGAUAUGAACUUCAUGACUUAAGAUCUUACUAAUAGACAAGUUCUAAAGAUGUGAUUCAUCAUACAAUCAAAUUCAAGAUGAAAAGAGCCUCCAAGUUUCAGAACAUGACCCAUUUGUCUCUUCUAAGUUCAAAAUGCAGGAUAUCUAAGCUGUUUUGUUCGUUUGUUAUAGUACACAGAGGAUGCAAGGGUUCGUUGAUUCAUUAACAGAUGAACAAACUACAAAGCAAAUAACGAAUAAACAUCUCUCUAUUUCUGCACCAAUAACAGCUAUACACUUACCUUUAUGAACAAUGUACCAGUAACAACUCAGAAUAUCUUAAGUAGAUAACAGUUAGCAAGAAAAAACUCAUCCUGAUUUUUCUGAUGUUCAUAAAGUGUGAAAUGAAUAUAUAAACUGAGAGAGAUAAAAACAAAAGAGUCACCCAGUAACUAAUCCUCUUUUACAUCUUCAACAGUUAGAUAUAUUGCCACGAUUUGGAUCUUUACUGUUGACAUCUUGUUACCUUCAUCCGCUUAGUCAUCCAAGUGCAAAUGACAGGACAACUAAUUUAAAUUCACAUGACCUUAGAUGCAUAUACAUCUGCUUCCUUUUUUUUCUCCCCUACUGUCAAAAAUAAGCAGCCAAUCCACAAUUAAAAGUGCGUUUAUUACCUAGAAAGAACAAGAAUCUCCAAAAUAUUCAAACUUGAUCUUCUAACGAACUGAUCAUGCAUGUUCUGACCCUUAGAAUCCGUGGUCAAUAAUUAUUUGACUGAAAACAGGUAAAAGAAAUCUUGUGAUAAAGAGUUGAUGAGAAAUACAGUAUUGCAGAAACUCCACGACAGUAACGCUCCCACAUAGUACGAAAUCUUCGUUGUCCUCCAAGAUCCCACAGUUUUAUGGUCACAUUUCCUUUUGUAACUUUACGCAUAUUAAAACCCACCUAGGCAUGGGAGUAGAUAAUGUUAGUUCAUGAUAUCUAAUACAUCAAAUAAUACUAUAUAAGAACAAUAAACAUUUUGAGGUAAUGAACAUACAGUUGGAAUCAUGUCCUCACUGUAGCCACCAGUCUGCAGGAUUAAGAAGCGCCAAUAAGAACCAUGAAGGCAAGAAAUCCAACAAAAAUAAGAUCAGAGAUAUACUCACUGCAAUGGCAUUAACCAGAGAUGUCUUUCCGGCAUUUUGAAGGCCAAUUAGGGAGAGUUCCAUUUCCUGUUUAAAGAACAAACUGAAAUGCACAUUGAUUAAUAGUAAGAAAGAAUUGAGAUCACAGAAAGUAGAACUGUGCGACACAAAAAGUUUCAAACUAGGAAAUCGAUUAUUAGAGUAAAAACUAAAGAAAUUUUGGUAUUACAUCAUUUAAAGCAUUAACAUUGCAUGGAUCAAUUAAAAAAAGGCGAUGUAAGAAUAAGAUAUCGUGGGUACAUAAACUCAAAAAUUAUUUUUCAUUAGGAGCAUCUUGUUAAAUGUUCCAUAAGACAGUAGUCAAAGCCUAAAUUAAGACAAAUGGGUAGCCUUUGCAAUUUACUAAAUCCCACAGUUUUGGGCAGACCAACCAAGGCAACGAGUUUCAUAUGUCUGGUCAAACGAGCUCUCUCACACGAUCAAGUUUUAAUCAGAUUUGGACGGACAAUACAAAAGGAAGGGAGGACCAAAAGACUCAAUCAAGGGUUUAGAUUACAUUCUAUCUUUCUUAUUAUAAUAGUUCCUCCCCACUAGUUUGAAGCAGUUGAGGCCCGCAUAUAUAAAUGAGUUGAGGAUAAGGUCUCCUCAUCUCCACCUGAUUCGAAUUCACAAAAACUAUUUUCAGCCAACCAAGCACUCUGCCACCUACAGAGUACAUAUAGUAGAAAUAGAUUAACCGCCAAGGCUCCGCAAGUCGGAAAAUUAAGAUGGUAGUGCACUGCAAUUGUAGAAAAAAAAGCUUGGCAUUAUUAUCAAAAUAAUGGGAUUGUCCUGUGCCCUGGCCAUGAAAAGAGAAGGUCUUGAAUACUUACCUUGGAUCAAACACCAAAGCAUUUGGGCUUAGUACAUAAGCCUUAGCAAACUCAACAAUUAUUACUCAGAACGAUGCCAAAUUAAUAAUUGCAGAUAAUUUAUGUGAAUAGAUAGAAAACAAGUCCAGCUUAUCAUGUUGUUAAUCUCAACAUUUUCUUUCUGCAAAAUUAGGGUUUUUUAUAACUAUUCUAUGAGGUAAAAAAAAAAUUCAACAAUUCCGCAGGAUCUAAGAAUCCUAAAAGUCACGUGACCAAACAUUAGCCUUUACAUCCCAUCACUUGACAUUCAAAAAGAUACCCCGAUUCAUUAAAAAAGGAAAAAAUUAAUUAUUCCUAUAAAGAAGCAAUUGAAAAAAAAAAAAAAUCAUAAUUUUUUUAAAAAGAAGAAAACCUAAGAAACCAUUCUAGUGGUGUUGCGCUCAUCAAAUCUAACUAGUACAUAUAGCCCUAAAACGAUCCGAUUCUUGACACAACCCUGCUGUUCGCGAUCUCCAAUUAGAAACAAUUUCAAGCCCUAGCGGAUUGUAGAGGGAAAGCGGAGUACCUUCGAAGCCAAUUGAGGAAAGAUUCCCAGAUCCCCAUCUCGAUCAGGGGGACAAGCGGCGUCGAACGAAACCCUAGCUCGUAGAUCUGUCCCGAAGAAGAAGAAGAUAACAGCGAAGUUUGGGUUCUCGAUUUGUAUUCUUUCAUUUUAUCCGCUGGGUUUUUUUUAAUUAAUUAAAAUUAAAAUUUUGUUCAAUUAUUUGACUGGUACACGAAAAGCAUCCGAGCGCAUACCGGGCCGGGCCGGACCCGGACCGGAUCGGUCUGAAUUGGCCUUUUCUUAUUAUUGACUUAAAUCUUUGGGCCGAGCGGGUCGGGUCGGACGGAUCGGACCAGAUUUGAAUCACCUUGUUCAUGAAAGCAUCGUAAACUUUCCAAUUAUUUUUAUUUAAUAGUAUUAACGGAAUCUUUUUUACUGUACACAUAUUAAUGGACCUCUUUUGAUAACCACGUUUUGUUGACUUGUUUAUUGGUCGAGCUUAGCGUUAGGGUUGUAGGCCCUUUGUGGGCUAUAAUAUCGGUCCGUGAUUGCCCUCUUUCGAGACGGUUUUUGGUCCUUAUUUCUUUAUUGGAUUUGAGCCCGCUAACCUGCAAAGCAGAAAAGGCCCGAAACGGAGCUCUAAAAUGCUUUUGAAAAUUUUUUUUUUUUAAAAAAAAAAUUCUAAAACAGCAAAGUUGCGACAUUUGACAAAUGCAUGCAUGUUCAAAUCCAUUCACUCAUCAUCCACCACCAACUCCUACUUUAUUUCUCCAUGCAGAAAAAGGGGAGGCAAAUCCUUUCCCACUUCUCCGUGUAGGUGCGCAAUCAUUGUAACAUUUGAACAUUACUUUCCUAACCCAAAAUGAAACUAAGAGGAAAAAAAAAAAAAAAAAAAAAAAAAAGGAAAAGGAAGAUCGGUUGUUUUAGUGACAUGCUUCAUUGUUUCAAUUAUGAAAGAACUGGACUAGAGUACUAUUAAUAGCAUCUUGUUUUAUUAAAUUUUUCGAUUCUUAAAUAAAGAGAUGUGCUGAUAGAAUGAUAAUGAUCCCUUAGGGUUUAGUGGGUGAUUGUUAGAAUAGUAUAAUCUAGGAUAUGAAAAUGGACAAAGAGAUAGAUCUAACGGCGAAAAAUUUAGUAACAACAAGUGCGCUUGGUGCUAUUGAUAAUAUUACAGUCGGACUCCUUCUAAAAAAUAUAUAUAAAAAAAGAAAAGGUAAAUCAGAAGGCCCUAAAUUAAGCUAUAGUAGGAGUAUGUGUAUAUAUAUACAUACACUGGUUUUCAUCUCAGCUUUUUGGAUAACGAGUAUAGUUGUUAGGUCAUUGCUAUUAGGUCGGCUACAUGAUUUAAGGCCUUUUGGAGUUGUUGGGCAAACAUGCAUGUUCUUAUUUAGCUUUAUUAUAGGGUGGCUUUUUUUUUUCCCUUGUUUUUGCAUUAGAAGAACUAACUAGGAGCUUUUGUUUCCGAGGCUCGAGAUCUCAUAUAUCUUUGCUUUUUGUUGUAGAAGAAGUUUUAAAGUCUCUUUUUUUUUUCUUUAUCAAACACUCUACUGAAAUUUGCUGUAGUUCGAAACAGAAGUAGAAGCAUGUCAAACAGGAGCCUAGCUAUUCGGCCUGCGUUUAGUUUUGUUUCCAAAUGCGGCCAUUUUAGAUUUGUAUUAGAAUAUUUUAAAAACGUAGAAAUCUCGACCUUUUUAUUGCUGUAAAAUCAGAUUCUAAGUCUCUAAAAUAGCUGAUUGAAUUUAAUUUUCCAAUUCUACCACAAAUAGAAAUUAUUGGAGGAGUUUUAAUUUUAAUCCCUUUUUUAUAGCACUUAGUCAAAUUGUGCAUCAUUAAACAAUACUCUAGUCUAAUAAAGCCAAACAGGCUCUUAAUGUACAACUUGAAGCGGUAGCUAGAACAAAUCUAUAGCUAUCUAUUAAUCUCCAAAAGAAAUGUUACGUGGCUGUGUUUUAUUUACUUUUGGGCAUCAUAUUGCGAAACCAAUCCUUCGCCUUCCUUCCACCCAUAAUGUCUAAUUAACGCGUCCACUUAUCUUAACCCCAAUUUAAACCGUAAACCGUAAUAACCAACGCAAAAGAUCCAACCCUUCGUCUUCCCUCCGCACAUAAGGUCUAACUAAUGGUCCGCCUAGCUUAAUCCUAAUCUAAAUAGUAAACUAGAAACCCACGCAAAAACCCUCUUCUCUUCUUCUCUACUUUCUCUUCCUCCUCCAUGAGCUCCGAAUUAAGAUCGAGCACGUGCUGUGGAUGGAGGAUGAGUUUGUAUGCUGCGUGGCUGAGCUUGGCGCUGCUAUCUUCAUCAAAUCGAGCCUUCUUCUAAAUUUUAUGAGUUCUUUUAAAAGAUUUAUAUAUUCUUUAUAUUGUAGCGUUAAAAUUUCUUAGGUAGUUUUAUUCAAUUUUUUUAAUUUUUUUUAUUUGCUUAAUAUUCGAAUUGAUGUGUUUGUUGUGUUUAAGGUUUAUUACUUUUUCCUUUUCUAUCCUUUAUUUUUUUAUAUUUUUUUUCGAAAGUAAAAUUCUGUAUUAUAUUUGCUGUAUUAUGUUGUAUUAGGUUGUAUAUCUUUUUGUCUUUUAAAAAUUUAUUGUAUAAUUUUUCAUAUGCUUACUUUUUUUUCUACUUUUAUAACUCUUUUUAUUAAUUGAUGUAAGAAUAUUUACAAAAUUAGAUUGAUAUAUGAUCUAAAAAAAUCUUCAUUUUCUUGAAGGGAUAAAUAUCAUAGCUUAUAUAGAAAAUGAAAGAAUAAAUAUAUAACUUAUACAAAAAAAAGUUUAAACCUAAUGUUAGUUUUUAUUGAAUUUUUUUUAUCUAAAUCUCUCCCAAAUAGUAUGUCACUUUUCGGCGCAAUAGGUUGAUAUAUUAAUUAUCUUUCUAUGAGUAUUUUGUUACUAAUCGGCUUCAGCAGAUUAAUAUACUUUCACAAAAAACCAGUAUGUUUGGACCAUUUUGAUUUAAAAAAAAAAAUUUUGAUAUAUUAGUUAGAUAUUAAAUUUAUUUUAAUAGUAUCUACCUGUCGCAAUAUGCGGGUUAUUACACUAGUAACAACAUUAAAGUAGUUGCACUUUCAAAGAGAGAAAACUGUAGACGAUUACGAAAAAAAAAAAGAAAAAAAGAAAAAAAGAAAAAAAAGAGAACUCGAUUACGAAAAAAAAAAAGAAAAAAAGAAAAAAAAGAGAACUCGAUAGCGAAGUUUAGUAAAUUUUCUCCAUGAAUAAUUAAACAUCCUAAGCACUCCAGUAGAAGAUGGUGAUUUUAUCCGUUGUUCAAUUACAGAAAUUUUAAACCGUUAAAUAUCAACGAUGAAAAUUGAAUCCAAAACAUCAUAAAAUGAAGGAAUUUAGAGUUAGCCUUAAACUCAUGUUACCUAAAAAAUCGAUCUAGCAAGAAACAGAUUAGAAAUAUAUAUUAACAAUCACAUGCCAUCUAAUUUUUUCUGUCGACCAUUCAUAUUUUUCAUCUCCCUAUUCUAUGGUUUGAAAUUUCUAAACUCCAUGGUUGCCAUUUAAUUCUGAAAAGAACUGGGUUAAAUUUUCUUGUAGAAAAAUCAGCUUCUCAACUUACAACUUUUCUGCUUUUUCCUUUUUUUAAAAAAAAAAUUUAAAACUAUUAUAUUUAAAUGACAUUGACUAUGCUUUUUCACCGGUCAAAAUGUUGCAUCUUAGUCGGAGUAUAUUUUUCUACUCUAUGUAUAUUCAAAUAGUAGAAAGGAAAAAAGCGGCCGUUUUAACUAUAAGAAAAUAGUUGAAAGAGAAACUAUUUGAAUCUUUUUGUAAAGCACUUCAAUUUCAACUCUCUAUAAUUAAGAAUUAUUAUUACGGCGGCGAGACCAUUUUGACACUUAAUUAUAAUAUUUCUUACCGCGUAUUUCUAUCAGUAAUAUAAUGCUCAUUGUAAAGUUUAUAUAUAUAUAAUAUAUAUAUAUAUAUAUAUAUAUAUAGAGUGAGGCUACUAUGCUAUCGGAAGCACGAGCCUUCCGUGCUUCCAGCUCGUUUUCGAUGUUGCGACUUUCGAAUCGUCGAUCGGCUCUGUUAAACUUGAUCUAGAGUAUUUGAAGUACCUAGAAAAUAAAUUUGAAGUACCUAGAUCAAGUUUAACGGAGCCGAUCGACGAUUCGAAAGUCGCAACAUCGAAAACGAGCUGGAAGCACGGAAGCUCCGUGCUUCCGAUAGCAUAGUAGCGCUCACUCUCUCUCUCUCUCUCUCUCUCUCUCUCUAUAUAUAUAUAUAUAUAGAAGUUGAGGUUACUAUAUUUUUAUGAGUAUAGACCUUUUUGUACUCAUAAAUUUUUAACUGUUAAUUAAUGGGAUGUGUGGUUAGAAUGAUGGUGGUCCCCACUUAAAAUGAUAGUGGUCCCCUAGGGUUGAGUAGGUAGUUGGUUAAAUAGUAUGAUCUAACGGAUGAAAAAGAUUAAUGGAAUAAAUCUAAGAGCCGAAAACUUAUGAGUAUAAGGAAGCCAAUAUUCAUAAAAAUAUAGUAGCCGGACUCUAUAUAUAUAUAGAGGUUAGGAUUACUAUACUUUUAUGAGUAUAGAGCCUUUCGUACUCAUAAGUUGUUUUCAAUGAUGAAACUUUCGAAUCACGAUCCACUCCGUUAAAUAUGAUCUAGAGUAUUUGAAANAAUUUCUAGAAAAUAAAUUUCGUAAUUUUUCGAAAUCAUAAUAAAAUUUAUCAAGCGGGUAUAAAAUGAACGGUCAAAAUCGAACGACGUCUUAAAAAAGGAUGAUUGGAUCCUUCAAUUUAAGAUCGAAGUUAUUGAUCUUUAUAUAUGUAGUGAAUAGAAUUUUCUAUCAAAUAUUCAACUGAUUUCGAUUCUUUUAUAUUGUUAAACUAGCAAAUCUCUAAUACCGGCCGUUAAAAAUUGUCAAUUUUGUGACCUUUUGAUCGUAAGGUAAAUGAUGUCGAAAAAUUAUAAAAUUUGAUUUUUAAAGGUUUUAAAUGCUCUAGAUAACGUUUAACGGUGUGGAUCGUCGAUUCGCUAGAAAAUAAAUUUCGUAAAUUUUCGAAAUCAUAAUAAAGUCCAUCAAGUGGGCAUAAAAUGAACGGUCUAAAUCGAACGACGUCCUAAAAAAUGAUGAUCGGAUCCUUGAAUUCAAGAUCGGAGUUAUUAAUCUUUAUCUAUGUAGUGAAUAGAAUUUUCUAUCAAAAAUUCAACAAAUUUCGAUUUUUUUACACCGUUAAACUAGCAAGUAUUCCAUACCGGCUGUUAAAAAUUAUCAAAUUUGUGACCUAUUGAUCAUAAGAUAAAUGAUGUCAAAAAUUUAUAAAAUUUGAUUUCUAAAAGUUUUAAAUGAUGUAAAUAACGUUUAAUAGUGUGGAUCGUCGAUUCGGAAGCUCUAUCAUCAAAAAUAAUUUAUGAGUACCAGAGCGAUCAUACUCAUAAUAGCGCACCCUAUAUAUAUAUAUACUACCUAAUCUUGAGUAGAAUGCUUUACCUACUCUUGAUAUCCCUUUUAAUGAACAAUAAUAAUUAAUACCAUAAAAGCGAUAAAGAUCUCAAUACAAAUUACUAGGUGGUGGAGGUGCAGCUCGUUGUUCUCGAGCUAGUUCAUGUUUAGCUCGAAAUGAGCUCAAAAUCGAAUCACUCAUCUAGUAAACAAGCGGAACACGAGGUGAAUUUUUCAGCUUAUUUAAUAAAUGAGCCGAACACGAGUUGGGAUCAGCUCGCUUAUGUUCAGUUCAAUAACAGCUCGAAUACAUAUAUUUUAUAUUUAUAUAAUUUAUUUAAUUUAUAUUUUUAUAUAUAAAUAAAUAAUUAUAUAUAAUAUAUUUAUUUAUUAUUUAAUUUUAAAUAAAAAAAUUAUAAAGCCGAGCUCAAUUAAAAAAAAAUUUAUUUCUAUGUAAAGUUUGAACCAUUAAAUCAAAAUCUAAUGAGUAAAAUUUUAUAAAUUUAUUUGUUAUAUAUAUUCAAUCUAAUUUAUUUAACUUAUUGUUCGUUGGUCAGCUCGUGAGCCGGCUCGCGUCCUUAACCGCAGAUUAUCCGUGAAACUUUAGAAACAAAUUAAAUUCAUCUUAAAUAAUUAUUUUGUGGCAUAAUGUAUUGUACGUACUGAUCAUAUUCAAAAUGAUUCUCAAUGAAAAGCACUACUCAACUAAGAAAAGGACUAGAUAAGAAGGUGUGGAGGGGAAACUCGAAUAGAUAGAAAAUGACUGUCAUAGAAAAAUGCUGAGUAGCCAUUAAUUACGCAAGGAUCAGAUCAUNUUUUUUUUUUGAGAGAUAGGUAGCACGCUACCCGUUUCGUUUAUUUUAUUUAAAAAUAAACUUAGCUGGAAAUGUGAAUCAACUAGGAUUCGAAUUUUGGAUCUCGAGUACCAGCCACCAAACCCUUUACCACUUGUUUUAGAGAUGGUCGAUAGCAAAUUGGAUUUUACUGUGGUGCUAGUGCUACUAGUCUACUACUACUCAUUUCCUUCUUAGGACAACACCAACUUUACCUUUGGAGUUUGUAAUUCAUUUUUUUUCCGUUUAUCUUUAUUUGAGAGGGAGUAAGCAAGUUAUUCAUUUUAUUUAUUUGUUAGACAGAAACUUAGCUGAAAAUAUAAAAUAAUUAAAUUUUAAACUUAAUAUAUAUUUCAGAUAUCAAUCGUCAAAUUUUUUACAGACGAUCGGUCAGUGUUUAUAAUUUAAGGUUGGGAAAUCAAAAGGGUGCAACACGGACGAACAACAUAAUAAAAACAAUAAAAAAUUAUACUGCUGAAAGCCUUUUAAAAUGUUAUUUUUAUAUAUUAUUAAUAUAUUCUGAACUAUAACGUAAAAGACUUUAAUUGGUUUAAAAGCAUUAUAUAAAUUUUCUAGCGCAUCAAUAACUCAGAAUAAUAUUUUGGAAUGGAAGAUUAAACUAUUAUUCAAGCGAAAAAUUGUUCUAUUUGAAGUCUCAUGUUCAGAUGUAUGUUAUAUACACCCAACAUGGUGUGCGAUUAGUGAGGAGUAUAAGUAUCAAUUUAUGUAGUUUUUUAAAAUUUUAGUUUUUAUUUGGCUUUUUUAUUUUGAUUGCCUUCAAUGUUUUCCGAAGCCGCGUUGCCUCAACCCUUGUAGCUAAAUUCAUCUGCUAAAUGAAUGAAGCGAAUAGCGUGCUACCUUUAUCUCAAAAAAAAAAAAAAAACAUGGUGUACGAUUGGAUUCUAAACCUCCUUAGUUCCCCAUAGCUUACGAGUAUAUUCUUAGGCUGCGUUUGGUUGGAGGGAUAUCCCAGAACAAGGCGGGAUAUCCCUCCAAACACAAUGCAUUUUGGAACAACCGGGUUGUUUCCGGCUUAACGGGUUGUUCCGGGAACAACCCGGUAAGCUUGUUCUCCCUAAAAGGGAGAACAAGCCGGAACAAGAGAUUUGGGCUCUUUUUUUUUUUUUUUUUUUUUUCUGGCCUUAUAUUUUUAUACUUUGAUUGUUAAUUAAUAAAUAAAGUUAAAAUGAAUCUCAAAUAUUAUAAAUAAAUAAUUAACAUAAAUUUAAUUUUUAUGAUAAUUAAUUUAUACUUAAAUUUAUUAUAUAAUAUAAAUAAUCUAAUUUGAUAAUAUAUUUUAUUUUUAUUAAGUUUUAAUCAUUUAAUAUUAAUAUUAAUUAUUUUAUUUUAAUAUUAAUUAUUCAUAAUAACAUAAUUAUUUUUUCAAUAUAUUAUAUAUAUAAUAUUAACUUAUUGAAAUUUAUACUUAAAUUUUUAUGAUAAUAUUAUUUAUACUAAAUUUUUAUUAUAAAUAAUAAAUUAAUUAAAAUUUUGAAUAAUAUAUGUUUUUUGUAUUUUAAUUAAAGUUUAUCAUUUAUAUAUAAUAUUUGAAUUAUGUUUAUUUGUAUAUUAAGUAUUCAUAUAGGCAUAACACAUUUAUAUGAUUCAUAUUAAUAUACUUAGAUAUACAUAUAACUAGUUAAUAUAUACGCCUAUAUAUACAGGAAUAAUAGCAAAUAAUUAGCAGUAUACUCAUUAUACAUAUAUAUACAUAUAUAUACUAUAAUAGUCAUGAUAUAUAUAAUAGUAUACCAUAUAUAUAUUUAUCUAUACCAUACUAUAUAAUAGAUAUAAUUAUUAUAUAAUAUUGUAUUGAAACAUUUAUACUAAAUUUUUAUGAUAAUAUAUUUAUACUUAAAUUUUAUUAUAUAAUAUAAAUUAAUUAAAUUUGAUAUAUUUUUUAUUUUAUUAAACUCUAUCAUUUAUACUUUAAUAUUUAAUUAUAUAUAUAUUUUUUAUUUGUAUUAAAAUUUAUACUAAUUAUUAAUUAAAAAUAUAGGGAUAUUGUUAGUAUUAUACUUUAUUCAUUAAUAUAUUAUGAAUAAAUUAUAGAAAAUAAAUUAUUACAUAAAAUAAAUUAUUAUAUAUAAUAAAAUAAUAUAUAUUAUUUUAAAUUAGAUUCUUACAUAAAAUAUUAUAUUAUAAAUUACUAUAUGAAAUAAUUUUAUAAAUAAUUUUAUAUAAAAUAUACUAAUAUAAAUUAAUCAUUUUAUUUUUAAAAAUAUAUUUAGACGUUGUUCUAGACUUUUUAUCCAAACGCUAUUAAGGAUAUCCUCUAGAAUAUCCUCGAAUGCAUCCAAACACAAAUUUACAAUUGUUCUAUCUUGUACCGGAAUAUCCCCUGUUCUCGGGAACAACAAAAGUUGUUCUCCAAAAUUUAGUUCUCCAACCAAAUGCAGCCUAUAAGUAAACCCACUAUUGAUAGUUUUAGAGUAGUUCCCACCAUUUUCUAUCAAACUAAUGUUUUAGCUCACAACAAAUUAAAUUUGUAAAAAUUACAAGUUUAUGCAUAGAUUUAAGAUUUUACAAGUAGUUAAAUUCUUUUUUGCAAUGUACAAAAUAAAUGCUUGCUAAGCUUUUUCCUUGUAUGCCAUUGCUUUUGUCUCAUUGCUUUUGUCUCACGUAAUACCUCAGUUUUCUAUGGUGAUAGUGAUCGAUCUUCUGGGCAAUACCACUGAUGCUUAACACGACUAAAACACGGCCAUAAAGUAGCUGAGGAAUGUGACAUAUCCACGGUACGUUUGGAUCGACGAAUUUCUAAAUCCAACGUAAUUCAAGUGUAGUGAUAUUUAAAUUUUUCUAAAGUGAAGUUUUUUUUUUAUUAUUUGUUUUGAUAUAAUUCGUAUAGUUUGAAGAUUGAAUUUAAUCACUUAUUCUGUUUGUUUUGAUGUAACUUGAUACUAGUGAAAUUAAUUCUUUGAGUUUCAUUAUUUGUUUUGAUGUAAGUAAAUGAAUUUCGUUACUUUCUAAAUAUAAUGGUAAAUUUAUUCCUAUAAAAUUCAACCUAUUAAAUAAUUAGAUUCCUCAUUGUUGUUUGGAAGUAAUCUUAAUACAUUGUCAAAAAAGAGUAACUCUAAUCUAUUUUAAAGAAAGUAGAGUUUAUGUUUUCAUAUUUAAUAAAUUGGUUAAAUGCAUACAGGUCCCUGCAAAUAUAGUAAAUUACAAAUAUAUCCUUAUAAAGUUCAACUUUUAUAUAUUGUCUCUCCAAAAGUUCUAAUAUUUUCAAAUAUAUUUUUCUAGUUUGUUACCGUUAUAGAAUUGUUUAUAUUUGAAGUGAACUGUCAAUUUUGCCAUCACUAAUAUAUCCCUCCAAAAGCUACAACGGUAUAAUAUAAAACGGACAAAAAUAUCAAAUUAUCUCAUAAACUGACCAAGGUUAAGUAUUUAACUUAUGGUUAACUAAAAUUUUCCCACAGACUCUAACGGCAUGAACAUAUUUGAAAAUAUUAGGAUUUUUGUAAGAACAAUAUAUGAAAGUUGAACUUUAUAGAAAUAUAUUUGCAAUUCACUAUAUUUGGUAUGAAAUUAAUCCUUAAUAAAUUUUUUAGAAAAAAUUAAGUGUGGUGGAAUUUGAGUUCGAUACUCUAGCAAGGAAAGUCAAGAGUAGAUGAGCUAGAGAUCUAACAUAACUCGAGUUAUAUUAUUUUUUUGACUGAAGCAGUAGAACUUGAGUUCUGUCUCUUUACUUAGACAAAAAUCAAACAGCUCCUAAAAUAUAGAAUGGUCCAUGAGUACUUGAAGAGAUCAGUGAUGCGUCCGCAUUUUUUAACUAAAUUUUCUUUUUCAAAGGAAUUUUUUUUUGGCUAAAUUACAAAAGCGUUAUCUGCAGUUUCAUCUUUUCCUCAAUUAUUCUUUAUAUUUUGGUCAUACGUAAUGUAAACUUAUCAAAUAACGUAGAUAAAUUGUCCACAUAAAAAGAAUUUACAUGCUCGAGGGAGAUAUCAUUUUUUAAUCUUAGCUCUACCUGCAAAUAAUCUAAAUAUUCAGAAGUUUUAUAUCAUCUAAAAACAUUGGGUUAGUGCAGAUUUAAGAUAAUACCGUGCAAGGUUGAAAUUAUGAAAGAAUUAGUUUGUCUCUAAAAUUUUAAAUUACUCAGAAAGAAAUAACUGACAAAGAAUUAAAUAAAGGACUUUUUUUGCAUUUGACCCUCUCAAAAUAUUUUUUUUUUAUAAAUAAUUCCAUCAAAUUUAUAAUUACAAAUUUAGCCCUAUCCCCGCCACGUAGGCGCCACAUCAGAGGCAUGAUGUCAAGUUGAACACGGUGAACCAUUCACCGUGUUCAAAUAUAGUGAAUGGUUCAUCGUGUUUUAUAUGUAUAUUCUCCCUCCUUUUCCAUUUGCAAUAUUUAUAAUUUUUCGCAAUGCAAUACAUAUAUAUUAUAUUUUCUCCGAGCACGGCACCGUGUUCAGCUUAACAAACUGGCCCCAGCCCCGCUGACGUGGCGCCUGCGUAGUAGGAGUAGGGUCAUUUUUGCAAAUAUAAAUUUAUUGGGACUAUUUUUAAAAUAAUUUUUUUUGAGUGUGCCAAAUGCAAAAAAAAGUCCUUAAAUAAAAGAAAUUUUGAAAGAUACGAGCUCAAGACGUCCUACAUAAUACCAUGUCAAACAAGUAUGUUUUUUCAAAAAAAAAAAAAAAAUCGUACUUUAUAAAUUUAUAUCAAUUACGAAUAAAAUAAUUAAAAAAUUAGCGAAAGUAGGACUAUAUAAAUUCUUAUCCUUAAUUCAUACUAUCGGCUAGCACCUCUUAAAAUCUUCGACUCUAGUAGUAGAGAAAAUUUUUAUUAAAGUUCUCUUAAUUUGUUUGCAUGUAACUAAAGUUAUAAACAAUAACUUUCAAUUGAACUAAAUUUGCAGUGAAAAUCAAUUUUUUGUUAUUUAUUUGUUAUUAGUUUUUCCCAUCUCUUUUUAUUUGGUAAUUAACUUAAUUUGGAAUUAGCUAACUAGGGCACCCGCAAUUAUAACGUUUUGAAAAAGUUGACUUUCGAUCGAAAUUAUUUUACAAUGAACCAAAUAAUAAAAAUGAACUUAUAUAGUUCAAAAUUAUUUUAUCUUUUUUCACUUUUGGUCAAAGCGGCGGCCAAAAGAAAAGUAAGUGAUAUUAGAGAACCGUUGGAGCACAACUUGUCUUCAUGAACUCCAUCGAAGUCAAUGUGUUAAGUGUGGUCAAAAAGUUCUAGAGGCCUUUGACCGUUUGAAAAAUUAAUCUAGUAAAAAAUAACUCAGUAUUAGUUUUAACAUUUUUAUUUAUGUGUAUCGUGAAUAUAAGAUGAACUAUGUAAACCACGUGUGCUGAUUAAAAAGAUAACAGAAAAGUUCGAAUCAAAUUUGAACCCUCUUUAAAUAGAGAAAAAAUUUUGGACUAAUUAUAAUAUCAUAUUAUCCAAAAAAAUAAAUCUAAUUUUAACAAAAAUAGGACUGCGAAUGUAUCCUUAUUAAUUACUGUUCUCUCACCAUUAACUGAUUUAAAUUCAGAAAGCCUAUCGUGCUCACCAACUCUGUUGUGAGUCACACCAAUAAUUUAAUAAUUUAAUGAUAGAGAGAUAUACAUGAACAUGACUUAGCCAAAAAAAUAAAUCUAAUUUUAACAAAAAUAGGACUACGAAUGUAUCCUUAUUAAUUACUGUUCUCUCUCCGUUAACUGAUUUAAUUAAGAAUUUUCGUAAUUCAGAGAGUCUAUUCUGCUCACCAACUCUGGUGUGGUCGAGUCGCACCAAUAAUUUAAUAAUUUAAUGAUAGAGAGAUAUACAUAAGCAUGACUUAGCUAUCUGAAUUGAUUCCAGAUAUUGAAAUAUAUAUCAUCGCAGUAAGUAAGACGAAACACGUCAAAAUCGCACGAGCAAAUGCCACAAAUCUCUUAAUUAACGUUUGAGGGCCUAAAUUUCUUUUCACAGCCUCACUAUUCAUAUCAUUUAAUGUGGCAAAUAAUUAAUAAAUAGCGGAGACACGUGAACAUGACUUAUUGUAGUCAAUCUCAACGUAAUAAAGCAAAAUUUGGUUUCACACAUGAAAACAACAGUAAUUAAUUACCGUGUGGAUACUAGAAAUAUACAUAUUCUUGCAUUCAUAUAUAACUAGUGCAGAGUUAAUAAUUAGCGGAGACACGUGAACAUGACUUAUUGUAGUCAAUCUCAACGUAAUUUGUCUCCCCCCCCCCCCCCUAACCCAGAAUAAAGCAAAAUUUGGUUUCACACAUGAAAACAACAGUAAUUAAUUACCGUGUGGAUACUAGAAAUAUACAUAUUCUUGCAUUCAUAUAUAACUNUAUAUUUACGAUUUAUUGAUAUAUAGAAAGCUAUAACAUAUUAAGUACAGUUAAUUUGUAUGACUAAAUUUACAUAGUAAGCAGAGGCCCCCGCGCAGACUGACUUAGCGAGCACUUAUAUAGGUCGCGGCUCGGCUUCGCGGGACGAUGCUUCUUGAAGGAGACAAUGUUCUUCAGAGGCUCUUCUUCUUCUUCUUCUUCUUCUUCUUCUUCUUUGUUAACACAAUGAGAGAAAGAGGGAGAUGAGUGCGGAGUAGGAGAUUAGACGAUGAUAUUUUUUUAUGGUGUAUGUAAAAGAGUUACAAAAGAGAGAGGGUAGGAGAUUAAUUAAUGGAGGAGGGGAGUGGUGCAUGUAAAAGAAUUACAAAAGAGAGGGAGUGGGAGAUUAAUAGAGGAGGAAAGUGGUUAAAGUUAUAAAAUAGAAUCUUAAUAUGGUGCAUGUAAUUAAAUAUUGCAUGUAAUUAGAGUAGUGGUGAGGUGAGUUAGGCGUUAAGAAAAGAAGAAGGUGGUUUGAUUUAAAGUUGGAUUUACAGUUACAUAUAAUUAAAUAUUGUAACUUACAUAUAAUUAGAGGAGUGAGAAGGUGAAAAAUUGAGAGUUGAAAAGAGGAGAAGGUGGUUUGAUUUAAAGUUAGCUAUGAGAAAUAAGAAUAACAUGCCACGUGGCAAAAAAUAUUGUGGCUUUAUAUAGGUUUAUAGAUAGUCAGAGCAUACGUGAAGCUUUAAUUACUAUCAUCUCUCAGCAAUAAUCGUCAUCAGAGUAUAAAAGCGUAAAAGCUUAAAGUUUUUACAAAAAUUUAUGGCAAAAUAAAUCAAUUUGAUCUUUCACGUUGAAGUGAAAAUAGAAUAUUGGCUCUGAAACAACUAAUUAAUAUGGAAAUAAUAUGAGAAACAGAAUGUAAAUAAAGUUACAACACGUAACUAAAUGAGAUACGUGUGCACAAAAAUGCAAUAUAUAUAUAUAUAUAGAGAGAGAGAGAGAGAGAAAUGAUGAGUACGUUUAUUAGACUUGUUUAUAUGACGUAUACCAGAAUUAAAUUAGGCAUUAGUGUAUUUAAAUUGUUGAACUUGUCUCUUAAUUUUGUGAUUCUUGACUUACCACCAAACUAAUAAAAUCAAGUAUUAAUUAAUUUCUAUUAAGUACUAGAAUUUUGUUGUAAUUAACUAGUGUGCGCAUGUGUGUAAGUAUUACUCAGCUCAAAAAGUCGCAAAGUUGUGGGGUUCGUACGUUCAUAUGAGUACACUUCUGGAGGAGAUGUGGGCAAUGCUCAUUUAAAACUAAGAAAUUAAUUUGAAAUUAGGAAGUGUUAUAGUCAUGGUUGCAUCCGUACGUAAGCCUUUUCCACGUUGUCAUAAUCAUGAAUAUAUAUAUAUAUAUAUAUAUAUAUAUUAGUAUAAUCUAUAUUUAUUAAAUAAACAUAUCUAAAAUUAGGCUAUAUAUCUAUGAUAAAUAUGUAAUAUAAUAUAUAGUGUCAUAUAAGAAAUAAAAAUAUAUUUAUAAGUUAUACAAAUAACUUACUAGUGAGUUGGCUUUGAUUAAGUAACUAAAGAUAUGCUGUAUUUAACCUUCACUUUUUUAGAAACAAAUAACUUACUUUUUAGAUAGUUAAUACUAUCCUACCAAAUCAUACCUAUCAAAACUUUUCUAUUUAAAUCUAAAAUUAAAUAUCUUUACAAAAAAAAAAAAAAAUCUCAUAGAUAACAUCUAAACAGGGCUUAAGUUGAUGAUAUUUUAACUGUUUAUUCUAUGUCUUCUCCACUGGACUAAUAUUUUUUUUCACUGACCAACCGUCCCUAGAGCAAGUGGCAAAGGAUUUGAUGGUUGGUAUCCGAGAUCCAAGUUCGAAUCCUAGUUGAUUUACAUAUUUAGUUAAAUUUAUUUCUAAAUAAAAUAAACGAAACAGGUAGCAUGCUACCUAUUUCUCAAAUAUAUAUAUAUAUAUAUAUAUAUUCACUGCACACUAUAAGAAAAUACUAUUAUAAGGAUUUUUUUAGGCAACACUUAGAAAAAACAUUCCUACAAUAUAGCAAACACUGAUAUUUUAAAAAACAUCAUCAUAUAAAAUAUCUAUUAUAUUAAAUUAAUUUAUUGAAUGAUAAAAUUUACUAUUAUUUUAAUUUUUUGAUACUUUAAAAGUAAAAUAAAAAAUUUUGAUAUUUUAAAAAGUCAGAAUAUAUUUUUCAGACACUCGACACAAAAGUCGGCAUAUAUAUGAAAACUCUUUAUUUAACGACACUUUCAAAUAGAUAGUACAUUAUUUUCGAACGCUUUUUAAUAUCGUUCAACGCCGAAACGAACAUUCUUUAACUAUAUAUAUCUCUAAGUCAAUAAUGAUCUCCACUUUCUUGCUAAGUUAAAAAUAAUCUCCUUGGGUACCGUUUGGUUCGGGUAUAAGCAAGAACUAGCUAUUACAGGGAUAGGUACAAGUAUAGGGAUAAGAAAAAUAGCAUUUGAAUGAAAAUUGGAUUGUUCCCGAGGAUAAAAAAAAUAUUAGGAAGUUUUAUAUAGAAAAUGGAGGUGUUGGUGGGAAUAACCGAGAACUACUAUUCUUGAAUAAAAAUUUAACGUUUGGGUAUAAAGGGGGGGAUAAGAGCCUAUCCCUAUCCCUAUUCCCAAACCAAACAGUGCAAAUUAAUAAAGAAUUAGUCAUAUACGCGAAAAUCCUCUCACACCUAAUCUUACAUGUACAAGAUAAAACAAGUAAACUAUACCACGGGUACUAACUAAAAACACAAUAAAAAAUAAUAAUAAAUAUCGUCAGAAGCACAACUUUAUAAAAUAUACAGAAUAGCUUAACAGUUCUAUACCCAUUAUAAAUAAAAUUAGGAGUCAACAUUUUAACUAUAUAUGAUAUACUACAUAGUAUAUAAUAUAGAUGAUAUAAUAUAUAGAUAUAUAUAGUAUAUAUAUUAAUAGUAUAUAUAUAUAUAUGUACGGUGUGAAUAUAAUUAAUAUAUAAAUAAUAUAUAUAAAUAUUAUUAUAUAUAUAUAUAUAUCUAAAGGAUUAAUCCAUUUGAUAAUUACAUCUUUCACCUUUGAAAGAACAGAGAUGAACUCUCAUUCUUGUCACAUGAUCUCAAAGCAAAAGCUGCAUUAUAGAGACUAAUUCAUGUCAGAAGAGCUCCAUUUUCCAAACUUCCUGAUCAAAAACAGCUCUAGAAUCUUCCCCACCAUCACCACAAGAGAACUCCCACCCCAGUACAUCAUCAAGCCCCAGGAACAACACUGGCUCUGCCCACUCCAUGGAUGGGACCACCAUUUCAUCAAAAGAUGCGAAUAAAACUGAAGAAAAAGAAGAAGAAGAAGAAGAAGAGUUGGAACAUGAGGAAGAAGAAGAAGAAGAAGAAGAAGCAGCAGCAGCAUGUGGUGCAGAGGGAGCUAUGAUCUCAUGGGGUUGAAUCAUGGGCACUUCAUCAGUGUUAAAAGCAGGGGAAUUAGUGUUGAGUGGUGGGUCAGUUCCUUCAUGAUUAGUUGUGGUGUUUGUGGUGGUGCUCUUCUCCAGUGUCUCCCCAUUUGGCUCCUCGGGAGGAGGGCCCUGGAGCUGGUCAUGAACCAGUUGGUCGUGGUGGGGCUCAUGAUCAGGUGGUGGGGAGGAGAUGGGCUCGUGAGUGACGGGGUCUAUGCCCAUCUUUUUGAGCUUCUUCUUAAUGUGCGUGUUCCAGUGGUUCUUUAUCUCGUUAUCAGUUCUUCCGGGAAGCCGAGCUGCAAUUUUAGACCACCUAAAAUGGAGAAACGAAAUAAAUGGUUAGAAUUUCUUUUUUUCUUUCUUAUAUAAAAAAAAUAAUACUGCACCAUACAUUCCAAACAAACAUAUAAUAAACAUACCAUCCAUCUAAUAGAUAGUAUAUUUUUAUUAAUCACACGAAUAUGUCUAAUGAGUGACACCCUAAUCAUUAGAUGAAUAAAGUGUAAAAUAUACGGUUUUUUUUUUUAAAUGUGUACAAGUAGCUUUUUUUUAUUUUCUUCUUUUAAAAGAAAAAAUAGUAUGCCGCUGAAAUUUAAUUGGUUUAUUAUAUGUUNCUCUGCUUAAAUCUUUUUUGAAAAAUAAAGUAAGGUUAAAAUGUCACAUAACGCCAAAAAAGAAAAAAAAAGAAAAAAAAAGAAAGAAAAGGAGAUGUAGGAAAAAGAAAGAAAGAAGAAGAAAUAAAAGAGAGAGCAAGCGAAAUGAGAGCGAACCGGUUCCCAAGCUGGGCAUGGAGAUCAAUGACCAAAUUCUCCUCAGACUCUGACAGCAAACCCCUCUUCAGAUCAGGCCUCAGAUAGUUUGUCCAUCUCAACCUGCAACUCUUCCCGCACCGCAGCAGUCCUAUAAAUAUAUAUACACCCCAAUUCAAUAUUAAUUAAUAUAUAUUAAUUAACAUUAACAACCAAUUAACUAAACCUGAUCAAUGCAUUACUUAAUAAUAAUGAACAUAAAAACCGAAACAUCAGGUGGUAUUUCCAACACUCAAAGCUGCUCCUUUUACUGGAAACCAGUAGCUAAUCAAACAGCAAAUGAAUUAUUUUUUAAUUUUCUUUGUGUGUGUGUGUGUGUGUGUGUGAAUAAUUAGAAGAACGUACUCCAUGGUGCGAUUAACAUGCAAUUUGGAUCAACUAGAAAAUUAACCUGCAAGUUUGGGCACAGCCCUCCAGCAGCAGUGGCCAUUGUUGCUGAGGAUGAACUCGACCAGCUUCUUAUCCUCCUCCUCAGUCCAUGGCCCCUUCUUUAGCCCCACCUUAUCACAACAUGGUUUCCUCCCCAUUAAUCUUCUAUAUUUGUGUGUGUGUAUAUAUAUAUAUAUAUAUAUAUAUAUANCACAACUAUCACCACCACCACCACCUUUUAUAAGGGGAGGAAGUAAUACAAAGGCUCAAGCACACGUGUCAGGGUCGGAAGAUGUUGUGCUCGCACGUGGGAGCUGGUUUUUUUUUCUUUUUUCCUCAAUUUAUCCUUAGGCUUUUUAUGCUAAAAUAUCUCAAGAUCUAAAUCCAAAAAAAUCUAUUAUCUUUUUUCUUUUUCUUGGGGGGUGGGGGAGUGUUUAAACAUUUCCGCGUCGAAGAGUAUUGCGGAGCGCAACCACCUUGGAAAAUACGGCCGGGAAACAAUCAAUAAAAUCUGCUUUUUGAUUUUUUGAAUCAGAGACGUGUUGAUUUUUAAUUAUAGAAUGGAAGUCGUUAAUGUAGUGAUUUCAAUAUUGUGCAGGCAGGACAAAAUAGAAAUGUGAGAUUAAUGCUGCGCAAAUGCAUGCACCCACGGAAACCAUCACUCACAUUUCAUGCGCCGACAGCUCAGACGGGUCUGCUAAUCUUCAACUUUUCCGAUCCUUAUUGAGCCGACUGUCUAAUUUUUUUAAAAAAAUUUAUUAUUAUUAUUCAAUUUUUUAAUUUAUUUGAUUUGAAUUGAUCAAUAAAAUUUCGACUUUAAACUUUUGAAAUGCGUUGUUUAUUUUUGUACGUUUAAUUAAUAUCUUUUAUAUAAUUUUUAUAAUUAUACAUUUAUUAAAAUAAAUAAUUAUAUUAAAUUUUGAAGUCAAAAUAUUAUUGACGGACUCCAAUCAAACAAAUAGAAAGAUUGAUAAAUAAAAUUAAAAUUUUAAAAAAUUAAAUAAUCGAUUUAAAAUAAUUCAUAAUUUGAAAAAAUUGUUGUAACGAUCCGAUUCGCUAGCAAUAAUACUCAUUGAGUACAAACCAUUAGCCCAAAAUGCUUAAGUCCAGUUAUUCUGUUUAGCCUAAUCAAGUUUAUAUAUCCUUGCACCUAACCGUAACUACCCGAUGUGGACUAUUCGGGUGUUACAGCUGCGUACGGUUUAACCUAUUAAGUUCGCACGUGAUUUGUUUUGACCUGCUACUUCAUACUUGCGAAGAUAUAUUAAUGUGAAAAACAGAUCAUGCAUGCAGAGAUCAACACUUGAACCUUAUAAAAGGUGUUAACCAUUUCCCGCUUACCCGAGAACAUGCCCAAUCGAUUAUAUUCUGUUGCUCUAAUUUUUAAAAAAAAAUCAGUUGUUCCACGUAAUAUCAAAGCAUUAGAUCUUAAAUUUGAAUACUACUAGACUUACCUACUAUUUAUUAACUAAAAUCAAGGUUUGCACUAGUAAUUCGAAAGCAAGUCACUCCAUCUUUCAAAGAAAUAUUAGGCUAUUGCACAUAACUUAACCACGCGAGACUUGGCGCUAUUAUCAAGUAUUUUACUAUUAUUAUCUUUAAAAUUUGUGCCGCGGUGGAUCAUACGGGAUCAAAGCUUCUGCAGUAGCAAGAGAAGUUCGGCAGCAAGAACAAUGAGCUGCAAAGAUGGGCACAUAAGCAAUUGCCUGGAGAUUUUCCGAUUGUUUUCAAGAGCAUCCAAGCGGCCUGCGUUGAUUUCCCUUCACAAAUCUCAACUUUUGCGUUUAUAAAAAUGAAAUAACAUUAUUUUCAGGAGUUUUUUUGUAAAUAGUCCCCUGAGCAAUUUUUAUUUUAAAAAUAGCCCUAUCAAAAUUAAAAUUGCAAAAAUGGCCCUGUCUCUGCCACGCAGGCGCCACGUCAGCGCCACGCGGGCAGGACUGGGGCCAGGGUAUUAAGUUGAACACGGUAAAUCAUUCACCGUGUCUAAACACGGUGAAUGGUUCACCGUGUUUCUUACGUACUUUUUANAAUAAAUUAUAUAUAUAUAUUCCGGUUUGAAUUCGGAUAAUAUUUCGGAUAUCCAUAUCUAUUGACAUCUCUAUUACUUAUUUCACUUUUCAAUAAUACGUACUAAACACGGUGAAUGAUUCACCGUGUUUGAACACGGUGAAUGGUUCACCGUGUUCAACUUAAUAUACGGGCCCAGCCCUGCCCGCGUGGCGCUGACGUGGCGUCUGCUUGGCAGGCCCAGGGCCAUUUUUGCAAAUUAAAUUUUGACAGGACUAUUUUUAAAAUAAAAAUUUGUCUGGGGUCUAAAUGCAAAAAAAGCCCUUUUUUUCAGGGUUAAGUCCUUAUAAGAGUAUACGAUGACUGACUUUGGCAGCAUCUGGACCCAAUGAAAGUAUUUAGGAUGCGUUUGGUUCGCAUUAUGAAAGAUUACUAGGAAUAAAAGAUAUCUGAGAAUUUUAUUCUUAUUCAUCCUAUUACUAAGAAUGUGAAAUUUCUGUGUUUGGUUCGCACGGUAAUAUUAAUUAGCCAUGUUAUUUAAUAUUACAAAAAAUAUACAAUUUAUUUAUUUAUUUAUUUAAUUUUAGAUAAUGUUACCAAAAGUUUCAACACCUUUUAAAAAAAAAAAGAAGAGAGUAUAAAUUAGAAAGAGAGAGCAUAAUUAAAAAAAUAGAAAAAAGAAAUAUAUAGUCAAAAUUAGAGGGAGUGAGGGAGUUGAAAUUUUAAAAAGAGAAAGCUUCGUUUAGAGAGAGAAAAAAAGUUGAAUUUUAAAGAGAAAAAAAUAAAUUUAGAGAGAUAUAAGGUUAGAGUGUAAAGAAAAAUAAUAUUAAUUAGCCGGCGGGUAGAAAGAAAGAAAGAGAUUAGACAUAUUAUGAUUACCCCAAUCUAUUAAUAUGAGAAUACCUAUCAUCCCUCAAGAGAAUGAGAUUAGUAUUUUGGGGUGAAUCUUAUUCCCAAGUGAAUCCAAUAUUACCAACUAGAUUACUUAGUGCGUUUAGCCAAACACCGUCAUCUUUUUUUAUUCCCAUUGGAUUACUAGGAAUCUUUAAAAGAUAGCGCGAACCAAACGCACCCUUAAUGAAAUCAAACUUGCAGGUCCGCCAAAUUGUCAAGCAAAUUUUAAGCUUGAAACUCUCCCUGCAUAGAAUAUUUCCGAAAAAUAACUCUGUCCCCUCCCUUUACUUCUUAUUAUAGUCAAUGCUGCUAAAAAUUAGUUAGAAGUAUCUACAAGUCAAACGGCUUUUGAGCUGGUGAGAGGUUUCGACGAUCUAUUAUCACCUCACAAGAUGUUAUUAACAAUGUGGCUAUGGUUAUGUUAUGAUCAUGUUGUUUUGUUAACAAUUUGGCUAAUAAGCCAUAGGGAUGAAAAGUAUGCUGCACCACUGGAGUCUUGAUCAAUCUAUGCUAGUUUUAAUUGUUAAAUCCACACUAAUAUAUGCUCUGAGUUGUAGUUUAAAACCUUACAACUAGAAAUUAGAUAGAGGUUGACAAUAUUAGAGGCACUUACAAGAAAACAAUUAUGCUGGAUUCUGCAGCUUCGGAUGAGUUGCGGCAUAGAUUGAAGAGUUCAGAUCGGUCUUCAAAUGCGAAAGAAGAUGUUGAACAUCCGGCUUUAGUAGUUCCGUCACUUUGCCGCAGAGAGUCAGUAUCUCUGACUUGGGUUUACUUGUGCUCUGUACAGGCCCUCCUUGGCCUUCGUACAUGACGGCGUGAUGCCUAUAUUUUGGAAGUUCCAGAACAACUAUAUAAGGCUCUUGGAAUAACGACCAUGUUUAACAUGAAAAAGAACAAAAAUGAAAGAAUCUUACAGGAAAUCGAUGAGGUCUGCGAUCUCUGACACAUCAGUAGGAGCAGAGGACUGCGAGUUUUUCCCGAACACAUCGACCAGCACGUUGAACAGCAGAGCCAAAGUCUAGACGCCACAUUAAGUAAUAUAUCUUCGUAAGGCUAAUGAAAAGCACUAAAGAUGAUCAAAAGUAGAUAAGUAAACUUAUUUUAAGAAAACAAGGAAGACCACUUAAUGAAGUGACAAAAUUAAAUGUCUUAACCCAAAUUAUUAUCUACAUGAUUUACAGUUCCGUGCAUUAUCUACAUGAUUUACAGUUCCGUGCAGCGCUGAAAGGAUAUAUUGUACAGAACACAAUGUUUUAAGGUCAACAUGGAAAAGAUAAAUAAGAGCUUUUCAGGAAGCAGCAUUUUGCUCUUUUAAUUGUGUAGACCAACCAACAUGCAUCGCACAUUGGCACGCUCUGAAGCUAUUAUUAUAACUGAACUUGAUGGACUUACUCUAAGAAUUCAGUACAAUUUACAAUGCAAUGAAUGAAGACAAAGGAACCAACUAAGAGAUGCAAGUACUUCUAAAGUCUAGAAAAGCAUUAUUUCAAAUUUUAGCUUAAUGACUUUGCAAGAAAAGGAAAAAAGUGUUGCACAUGCCUUGAAAAGAGAAGAUAAUUGUUACAUACUUCCAAUUAUUCUGGACAGCAGAUAUAGAGUCCAGGCUUCCAGUUUAUGUAAGGGAAAUGUUUAAGCAAGUUGCAUACCUUCAUGAAGAAAGGGCGACCAAAGGCUAGACGAGGUAGCAAUGGCCCCAAAAUGCGGAAGGCUAUUCUUAACAUUGCAACAGAAGUCACAGGGCGCAAAUGCUUUAUUAUUGUAUGUGUAGAUUCUAGCCAUUCUUGUGGAAGAUUGCUAAAGAAGGCGUGCAAAAGAGCAACGAUGUUCCCUGAAACAGUUACGCGAGGGGAAUUUAUAAAUCCGCGAGGGGAAUUUAUAAAUCAAUUUCAAGUUAACCAACUGCAGAACCUUUGAUAAGCAUGUUCUCACAUCCAGCAUUCCAGCAUUUCAUUUGACAAAAUUCAAUGAAAUUAUCCAUUUUCUACUAGGACAAACCAGUUAAAUGAGUUGACAAACGGAUCUUAGCACUCAUAACAAUUUCUUUUCUAAAUAGGUUAACUUCAUCACUCUGCCCAUUUGAUAUUCAAGCUCCCUCUUUUUUCACUUAUUGGUCCAAGCAGACAAUUGUUUAUUUGAUAAUGUAAAUUAGAAACCUCUCUCCUUUUAUGCAUUGAUAAUUCACAACUCUAGUUCAAUAAGGAAUUUUCUCUAGUUUUAUAUUGUCAAUAUAGACAUAAUUACAAUGCAUCGAAAAUUAUAUACGGUAACUUUAGCUCCAUCCAACCAAAACAAAGCCACUGAAGCUUAAAUCUUACCUAUCGCGGUAGAAGUGUUGUCCUGAGAAGCCCAUGUUGGGUCUAACAGAGCAUAUCCAACAGCAGAAUCCAGCUCCUUGAUCGACCUCUUACUGUCAGCAAGCCACCAACAAUCUUUUAUGAUUCGCGAUGCUUCCGAAUACAGCUGGACAUGGAACUCCGGAGGUAGCUGUGCCAAAAGAAGGCCACAUGCUUGGAUCAUCAAACAAGACAACUGUUGACAGGAAUAGCCGCUUCUGGAAACAAAGUUGGAGCAAUUGAUUCCCGUCGGGGAUGCUGUCGAGCGGCUUGUGCUCAUUGUUUCGGCACUUCCACCUGAUGGAGAAGUUGGUAGAGCAGGAUUUUGCCCAGGCCCACUUGACAGUCCACUGCUGGACUGUAUUAGAGUCGACUGUACAUGGACAACCACUUGAACAAGGGAAGAUACGAUUUGGGAAGCUGAUGCUGGGAGUGAGAGGAUCUCAAUAGCAGCUGUUUCCAGGACAAGCUGUGUGUAUGAACCAGGAUCCUGAUUUUGAUAAAAUGCUUUUUGGCCAUCAGAAUUAUUGAUUGUGCCAGACUGAGGAGAUGCUUGAGAUUUAUUAAAAGCUGCACGCCCUGAAUUGCUGGAGGAAUCUGUCGAGUCUGAUUUGGACUUACUAUUCAGAGAAGGUAUAACAUUAUUAACAAGGCCCAAAAGAAGGUUGGCAAAGUAGUCUAGUGGGGGGCAGCUAGCAGGAUUUGAUGAACCAACAUGCUGAGGAAAUGAAUCUGAAAAAGGAAUCUGAGGAAACUAUUGAAUUAGUAAAAGAACCAGAGGAAAAAAAAAAGAGUAAUAAAGGCACAGAUGAAUCUUUUACCUUAGAGAUAUCGAGUAUUUUCAGUAUUCGUACUAUUAGCUUGCUUGGGAGGUGGCCAUAAAAGUAUGCUAGAAUGUCCCGGACGAAUGUAAAUCUGAGAGGGUGGAAAUUAAGAAGAGACGAAUAGAAAGCAAGAACUCUGUCGGAAAUAUCUGUGGCGUCAUUUUCGAUGAGCCUAUAAAUAAUUAGUGGGAUGACUGGCAGCAAGCGUGCUGCAAUAUCAUCAAAAAAGACAGGGUACCUGCAACAAUUGAUAAAAGCAUAAUUUACAUCAAGAUUAUGCAGUGCCCAUACAUAAAUAUUAGACAUAGUAUCACUCCAACAAAGUGUCCCACUGGAUUGUAUCUCAAAAUUGAUGAAGAAAACAAGAAUUCACAAAUUAUGAAAAGCAAAUCUUACCGGUCCUUCCAUGAAAGAUGGUUCCCCAGAGCAUGCUGAAGCUCAACUCUCUUUGGUGGUUGAUUGUUAAGCCAGUGCUCGGGAGGUGAACGAUUUGAACAGAACAUUUUGAUUCUUUUCUGAAGCUCGGGUCUUUCGAGCAGACUUAUCUGUGAACAGUAGUGCCAUCAAGUUUGUAGCUUCCUCAUUUCCCAAAGCAGAUAUAGACAGUAAAGUGGGCACUGAAGUGAUGCCCUUGGCCAUAUUUCACAAGCAUGAUUUAUAGUGGAACAAUAUCAAGCCAAUAAGCUAAAGUUCCGACUAUAUGACGUGCAAACCAUUACACAAUUCCAAACAUAUAACAGCAUUUGUUAUUUUCACUCCCUGACAAACAGCUAUGCUAAAACAUUCAAAAAGUCAAAUAAGAGAAUGUUGGCAAGUGUUAUGACCAUGUAUGAUUACUUAGUAUGGUUACAGUCAAAGUUAAACUAGGAGAAGUUUAAAGAACUCAUGCUAGUUUGUUUUUGAUGAAGAUCAAGACUGUUUAAAACAACAAGAUUCGCUCAAAUGAACAAACCAAGGUAAGUUUCUAUCAUCAUACCAUCUGAAUUAUCCACUGCAUCUUGGAAUUGAUGUGCUUUACGUUUCAGUCAAUCUGGUUUGAAAUACUUUGUGUUAAGAGUUCUACAGCAAAUAUGAACCAGAUACAGAUUCAUUUGAACUGAUUCAAAUACCUUUAGAAACAAAACUUUCUGCAUUUUCAACUGGUAGAACCUCGGCAGCAAACAGAGUUUCAUAUGGAGUUUGUGAGCUACUAAGCCUACAAAAUCUUUUAAAUAUAAAAAUAGGUAUCCAAGAUUUUUAUUUAUAUUUAUAAUUACUGCUUUCUAAAGGCGGUGAAUCAUUCACCGCUUUUACCCUAAUUUACAUAUUUCCUACAUCCAAACUUCAAAAGAUGAAUGGUAUUAAACACUAAAAAUAGUUUUAAUCCUUUGAAGAAAGCAGUGAAUGAUUUGCCGCAUUUAGAAAGCGGUAAUUCAUUCACCGUAUAGACCUAGCUUUGUAAAUAAUUUUUUUGGAGGACUUUUUAUAAUUACAGUAUUUUCUAAGUCUAUUAAUAAAAAAAAAGAGCGUUUCAUACCUUGCAACUUUUCUAAAGUUUCCUGAAAUUUAUUGAAUCAGUUCAGAUGGGUUCAACAGGUUGGAGUUCUACAGAAGUUAAUUUUUUGACCAGCUGAGAGCAAUUGGGCCGGUUGAAGGUCACACCAGCGAACAUCGCUGUAUUAUUGCAACCAGUCAAUCGAAACAUUAAACCAGUUGAGUUGACUGCUGGCCACUAUUAUUUUCAGUCGUCUUGAAAGAGAAACAGUUGCAUAUGUUGUCGACAGCUGACUACAAUUUUUUUUUCCAAAUUGCUAAUAAUUUGUACCUACCUCUUCGAAAACAGUAAUUACAUUACAGAUUUUUCACGUGGUUGUUCUCCUAGAGGUGACACUAUGUAAGCAUGGAAGAAAACAUACCACGAUACGCAAAGCAUAAUGGUCAUCGUCCCUGUCGAUAAGGGCUAGAAGUAAAAUAUCCAAGGGAAGUAGCUCAUGUGUCCAAAUAAAAAAGACAAGAUUUGCAAUUGCUUUAGAGAGAAGAUCCUGCAUAGUAAAUGCAUAAGAAAAUAUUAAAGUGGACCUACUGCAGCAAAUAUAAUCAGCAUACAAAACACAAUAAAAAAAAUUUACUUAUACCAAAUAUUAACAAGAAUUAGACCUGCGGAAGAUGUCCACGCUGCAUUUCAACCUGGAUAUGGUGAAGAAGAACAUCCACCAUAGUAUAAAUGUUAGAUGUCACUUCUUCUGGCGAAAACUCCCUUAAGACACGGCCCUGCAUUGAAACUGUCACAUGUAUCCCAAAAAAAUAGUACAAAUAUCAAUUAUCUACUAGAAUUUAUAUAAGAGAGGGUGAGUGAACGAUAAGGUCAUACAAGAUUUGUACUAUUGAUGCUCUCAGGAUGUCCGUUCAUCAGCAUCCAUGCACCAGCGCAAAGAUAUUGUCGGUGCUGAGGAAAGCUAUGGCCAAGAUAGGUCAUUACAUAAGUAGGAUCAGCAGAUGGUGAAAGAAGCUGAGUGCAUUGAUUGAUAACUGUCGUUUCGGCCUAGAGUAAAGAACAUACAAGUGAGAAACAAUAUAUAUAAUAAAAGAGGCGUGAAUUAAAAUUAUUUUUCUUUUUUGGUGAAAAUAUAACCUAUUUACGACAGAAUAGUGUGCCCCAAGAAACUGAAAGACUACAAGUGUCAAGCAUCACUAAUGAUGCUUCUAAUUUUUAGUUCGAAACAAGCAUGCCAGAGUACAUAUUGCCCUAAAAAAAUCCAAAAACUCAAUGAUUGAAUCACGCUGAACAAGAAAAGAGAUGAUAAGCUAGUGUGAACUCUGCAUUCUUUGGAGUCACUCUAAAAAUCAUUGAUAUAAUAUAGGGAUAAUAUUGAAAAAUUAUGUUAUGACAAAAUCAAGAAGCUUAAUGAGGGGAUUGAUCCACUAUGUUCUAAGAUUUGCCAAAGAAAAGAGGAAAAGAAACAAAUGGAAGGCAUAAAUAGUAGCUAAAGAAGAACAACAGACCUGCUGCCAUGCUUGGAUGGCUUGGCCCCUCUUGUCUAUCCUCCCUAUCAAAGAAUCCCGAAUAAGAGGGGGAAAAAAUCGUAGAGUUUUUUCCGACCACGUAUGUUGGCUAGUUGCCAUUAUUUGAUCAAGCAACGGCUGGAGAUAAAUCAUGUGCUCCACUUCAGCAAUUCCACGGGUUUUGAUGGUGAUAGCAAGGCUAAUUAUUGUUAUUCGAUUAAGUGUCUCGGUAAACUCUGUUGGGCCCUGCAAUAACAGUCUUGAGAAGAGUAAGCAUAACAAAAUCAUAUAUCAGCAAAAUUUGAAACUAAGAUAGCAAAUCCUCAUUGGUAAUUGUGUUACUUCCAACAACCUUUAAUUCUUUCUUCACCAUGAAGAAGUCCCGUAUUGAAAGAAUCAAAUUCAUGCAUAAGUUUUCAGCCAAUCUGAAAAGACGAUGUUCCCCACGUUUUCCCUUUAUCAUCGAAAUUAUCUUUGUAACAUCAUACAUUAAAGCCUUGCUCUUGCCAUGGUACCUGCAGACAAGAAGAAUCUGAUUGCUUCAGAAAAUGCUUACUCUGUUCAAAUUAGUUUUUCCCCUUCUAUUUUCUGCACAUUGAAGAAUCUCAAAAAUACAAAAAACUAGUGCAAACUUCCUCGAACUAGAUAGUAGAAGUUUUAGAUCCACUCAUCCAAACUUGUCCUAAUGUUUGGUAUACAGGCUGCACGAACACCAUUCCCCAUGUUUUCCUUUCAAUUGACACAACAUGGCAACAACAAACAGGUUUAAGUUGGCACAAUCUCUUUUUUUUUUCUUUUGGUAAGAAAACUUCUAAUCAUUUAGCAGCAGUGGAAAGAGUACAAAGGGGCGCACACAAAACCUAGGUUUUCAAAAUCUCUUUCAGAUAUCUACAUGAGAAGCAUCAUCUGCAACUUAGCAUAAUCGAGUACAGAAACUUUACCAAGUUACAUGGUUGGAAAUAGAAACUGUAAGUUAUCAACAUUUAUUCAGACAAAGUCAAAGGAUUUAAGGUACAUCUUGAAGUAUAACAAUAGCAUGAGUGAUCCAGCAACAUGCAAUACAUAAUAUUUUGACUGAAAUUUAUCUUUAGACAUAAGAAAUGGGAGGCACCGAGGAUGUUUAAGCUCUAGAUAUUCAUCCACUGAAAGAAGACAUUUCAAUCAUGGUAUAACUUCAAGAAAUCUCUUCAACGGCAAACAAAGUAAACAGAUAAAGAAAGCACCUGUACAGAGGAAGUAAUCUAUAGUUCAAUAUUUCAAGUAGCAGGAGGGAUACACCAGAUUUGCUCAAAAUAGAUGGAGAUCUUUGUGUCAAAGUCUGCAAAUUAUAAAACAACAUUAAAAGGUAAGAAUAAAAUAAAAUAUUCUGACAAAUUGAGUAAAGCUGGAUUGAGUGUCAUAACAGAAGAAUCAUUUGACUCAGAAAAUAUUAAGUCAUCAACAGCAUGGUAUCAAAUGAACCACAUGAAAAAAGAGCAAGAUAAUGCUUGAAGCGAGCCAAACUGUGAUAAGUGUCCGUGUACAUAUCUUUCAGCUUCAAUGAAGCUGUAACACUACAGUUGAUCAAUAACAUAGUAGGCAAAUUUUCUGAAAAGCAACGAUUCAAUGAAAAGAUUGUUAUUUUCUUCCUACUCAUAACAGUUGCAGCAAGUAACAGAUACCAACCAAUAGCAAGCAUCCGAGUACUGCUUAACAUGGAAAUUAUGUAGCAAUUUUAUAGCAUCUUCACUAUGCAGAUUCAUUUUCGAGGUUAAGCAAGAAAGCAUUCUUUAAAGUGGCUUUUAAAAUGGAUCAUGCUUCUGUUUUAAUACAGAUCAUGCUAGUAUUAAAAGGGCAUGAUAUUACUUGUCCCAUAUUCCUAGGGAUGUCAAUGGGUAUGGAUACCCGAAAUUUUAUCCGAAACCGAACCCGAAUGAAACGGAUAUAUCCAAUGGAUAUGGAUAUGGAUUCGGCUAUGGAUAUAAAAAAUAAAAACCCGACGGAUAUGGAUUCGGAUAUGGAUUUUGAUUGUACCCGACCCGAACCCGACCCCGACCCGAACCCGAAUUUAUUUUGUAUUAUAUAUAUAUAUAUAUAUAUAUAUAUAUAUAUAUAUAUAUAUAUAUUUGAUGUUAUAUUUGAAUUUGUACUUUAAAAUUUUAAAUUUAAUAUAAUAUAUUUUGAAAUAUUGAAAAAAGAAAUAAUUGUUUCGGGUUCAAAUUUUCGGGUUCGGGUUCGGGUUCGGAUUUCGGAUUUUUGGUCGGGUUCGGGUUUGGAUAUGGAUUUUUAAAAUCCGUCGGGUUCGGGUUCGGGUCUCCGGUUUGGAGUCGGGUUCGGGUUCGGGUUUUUAAAAAUCUGCCCCGAAUCCGACCCGUUGACAUCUCUACAUAUUCCUCCCUAACCCCUCUUGUGCUGUUAUCGAUACAUCCUACUUCAAUAAGGACUUGCACACCACGUAAUAUAAGGCCAGCACACCACUAGCUGUCGCAUGCACAAUGAAGACCCAUAACUUCACAACCUGAGGGAAAUUGUUCACAUAGUCCAAUAGCAUCUUAUGGCAGAGAAUAACUUGACUACCAAGCCAGUAGAAAACAACAGAAUUCACCGUAAAAUUUUACCGUAAAAUGGGGCCGAAAUAACGAGUGAGGAGCAAUAAGAAGCAAUCUAACAUAAGUUUCAACCAUUGCAAUACUUGGAAUAGCCUGCAAAAUUUAAGCAGUACUUUAGCAGCAUAGAAUCUGAUUGGUGCACAAUAAUAGAAAUAAAAUGGAAAUUUAACAGCUCUAAUUAAAGGGCUAAUUUCCUUAGGAGAUAAAGAAUCUUUCUUUUCUGAUCAGAACUCAGGCAAUGACUUAUACUACAUAAAGGCACAUCAGGUUUUACGCACAAAAAGCUAAUCUUGUUCCUUGUACAAAUUCUAGCACUUGCCUGAGAAGAUUCUCUUGUCUAAAAAGAAAUUUACGCAACGUUAAUCCUCUUAAACAUAAUUAGAUAUCAUAUUUACAACCUUACUUAGAAUGUGUUUUGACAGAUUCUUAAACAUUCUAAGCAGUCCCCAGAGAAACAACAAUCGACUAAAUGUUUAUUAAGCUAAGCACAAUGAACUAUGAUAACAUAGGCAUUUCUCUCUUUCUAAUAUUCAUAUGUGAAGUUAACUAAAAAUUCCACAGAAAGACACAAAACAAUGCACAAACGUGGAGUAGCAUAUGAUACAGGUUAGCAGCAUUGCUGUACUAAAGGAAACAUCAUGUUUUUUCCUUCUUGUAAGGAGUACCACAGCUUUGAUUGCCCAGGCUUUGCCAAAUGCCCCAAUCUGGCCCAGUAAGAAAAGUUCCAGGCUUUCUGGAUGAAAGAUUGUCAUGCCACUAGCACGGCGCAUGCCACUGUGCGAGCAGCAUGGCACGGCAUGGUGGCACAGGGUGUUCCAACGUCAACACAGCCCCUGUGCCAGUGGCAUAUCACUAGAACAUUGGCAUGCAUUGCCGCAGGUUUCUUACCUAAAUUUUCAUGACAACUAGUUUUUAACUUUAGAGUAUUUUAAUAUCUGUAAAGGCUAUAAAAAUGGUUUACAUACUAUACUAUAUUAUAUCUUGCACAAUAAGUAAGAAUAAAGUCAUAAUCAUCAAAAUAAGCAAAGAAAUUAUUUUAUAUUAUUAUUAAAGUCUAUGCACGUAACCAAAACCAAAGUCAUAAUUGAAUAAAAAUUUAUAGGAAAAGACUAAUAUCUAUAAAAUAAUUAGAUCUAAAAUGAUAAAAGAGAAUCUUAUAUUUGUAUUUUUUCCACUAGAAGUUGGUCUUAUAAUGUGACGGAAUUUACUACUUGGUCCAAAUGUUAGUAGAUUUACAAGAUUUAUAUAUUUUAAGUAUGAAAACAACUUCUAGUGGAAAAAAUACAAAUAUAAGAUUCUCUUUUAUCAUUUUAGAUCUAAUUAUUUUAUAGAUAUUAGUCUUUUCCUAUAAAUUUUUAUUCAAUUAUGACUUUGGUUUUGGUUACGUGCAUAGACUUUAAUAAUAAUAUAAAAUAAUUUCUUUGCUUAUUUUGAUGAUUAUGACUUUAUUCUUACUUAUUGUGCAAGAUAUAAUAUAAUAUAGUAUGUAAACCAUUUUUAUAGCCUUUAGAGAUAUUAAAAUACUUUAAAGUUAAAAACUAGUUGUCAUGAAAAUUUAGGUAAGAAACCUGCGGCAAUGCAUGCCAAUGUUCUAGUGAUAUGCCACUGGCACAGGGGCUGUGUUGACGUUGGAACACCCUGUGCCACCAUGCCGUGCCAUGCUGCUCGCACAGUGGCAUGCGCCGUGCUAGUGGCAUGACAAUCUUUCAUCCAGAAAGCCUGGAACUUUUCUUACUGGGCCAGAUUGGGGCAUUUGGCAAAGCCUGGGCAANGAGAGAGAGAGAGAGAGAGAGAGAGAGAGAGAGACCGGCUACUAUACUCUUAUGAGUACGAUUGCCUUCGUACUCACAAGUUGUUUUCGAUGAUAGAACUUCCGAAUCGACGAUCCAUACUGCUAAACAUGAUUUAGAGCAUAUGAAACUUCUAGAAAUCAAAUUUCAUAACUUUUCAAAAUCAGUUACCUUGCGAUCAAAAGAUUUCAAAAUUGAUAAUUUUUAAUGGUUGACAUGGGAUGCUCGCUAGUUUAAUGGUGUAAAAAAAUCAGGAACAGUUGAAUUUUUGAUAGAAAAUUCUAUUCACUAUAUAGAUAGAGAUCCAUAACUCCAAACUUAAAUUAAAAUUCCGAUCCUCUAUUUUUAGGAGGCCGUUUAAUUUUGACUGUUCAUUUUAUGCUCGCUUGAUGAACUUUAUUAUGAUUUUAAAAAUUACGAAAUUUGUUUUCUAGAAGUUUCAAAUGCUCUAGAUAAUAUUUAACGGCAUGGAUCAUCAAUUCAAAAGCUCCAUUGAAAAUAACCUAUGAGGACAAAGAGUUCUAUAUACUCAUAAGAGUAUAGUAGCCCUACUCCACACACACUUUCGGAGGCCUGAUCAUCCUUAUGUAUUAAAGAUAAAAAAUCAUUAAACAAUCAACAGCAUGAAAUAAUAAUUCCAAAUGACGAAUCCUAGCUUCCAAACAUCAGUCAAAUCACUAUUAUUUUACACAAAAUAUGGCCAAGUAAAAAAUAAUUGUAACACAACACAAGGUACACUUGCCUAAGAAAAUUAUGCUUAAACGUACAUCUUGAACAAGAAGAUAUUGCUAAGGAUGUAUUGAGAAUAAGAAAAGACAAAUCGUAAAAGUAUCACUUUUAUACCUGGCCAAGAAAUAUGGCCUCUUCAAGUUGAUAGGCAAGCUUUAAGCAUAAGUUGAUGGACAGACCAGAAAGUAACGACAUAGAAAGAGGGUAAGUUUCUCGCAUCAUCAUUACUCUUUCAUUCGUCUGUACAUUAGAAGCUUGCAGUAAAUCUGUAACUCCUGCUGACGUAAACCAAUUCAUCACAGCUUCGCAAGCAGGUUGUGCCAUGGUGAACGAAAGAACCCAAAACAUGCCCAUUGAUCUAUCAUCCAAGUUCAUAAAAUCUAUCAUACGCUCCCCUGAAACUAGAGGAAAUAUGUAUAUAAAUAAAAGGUAAUAUUUAGUCAAAGCAUAGACAAAUAUGUAAAACAAAGCGAAAACAAAAAUUAGAACACUACAAUUCGCUAGGUCCUAGAUUUAAUACAGCCAAAAGUAAUUUUUGCAACAAGGUCAGAAAUACAAAAAAACAGAACAUGCACAUCGUUAAGUACUAGAUUUGAUGCAGCAGAAAGUAUUUACAUAGCAUUAGAUGUGGCCUUUGAAAUACCUUUUGUCAUUUGCUUCCACCAUUCAUCUAUCUGCCUUCCUUUCUGAAGCUGAUCACUGUUCAGAUGCUCUCUGAUAGACGUGUUGAAAGACCAAAUGCGUAGAGUUUGGCUACUACUUAUGAAGUCAAGAAGAAUAUUUUGUGGGUUGAUAUUAUUUGAAUCGAGAUUUUUGUCUUCUUUAUGGAAUGAAAUAAUCUUCCUAGUAGUCUCAACCUAUCAAGAAGAACAUGAUUGAGAUCAAAAAACAUAAAACAACAAUAAGACAUGUACCGACCGUCCCUAGCGCAAGUGGCAAAAGGGCUUGGUAGUUGGUACCCGAGACCCAAGUUUGAAUCCUAAUUGACUCACAUUUCUAGCUAAGUUUAUUUCUAAAUGAAAUAAACGAAGCGGGUAGCAUGCUACCUUUCUCUCAAAAAAAUAAAAAAAAAAAAAAAAAAAAAAAAAAAAAAAAAAAAAAAAAAACAAUAAGACAAGCAAAUGAGGCGUGGAUUGACCAACAUGUAUGAAAAACAUAUGAACUAUUGGAUGAAUAUGCACUACCUUCCUUGGAUCUGAACUUAAGGUGUUCAUCACAAUCUCAAUACGAAUAAUUUGUGCAAGCAACCAUGUCACAUGAUUGCUUCGAAGGAUCUGCUGAUCACCCUUAAUAACCCGAGAGGCAAGUUUGUCAACAAAAUCUAGGAAGUCAAUACAGCCGCUCUUCAUAAGAAAGAAAAAUAUGUCUGCAAAUAGAAGCCACUCCAGCCAGCAUUGUGUCUCUACGAAAAGAAGGAUAAGGUGUAUAAAAUUUUCAAAAGGCUUGAGCACAAAAUAAUUUUGAAUAACGGAAACAAAUAGUACCGCCAAAGCAUUUAGUCCUAACUAUUCCUCUAUUUACCUCAGCUGCAGACAAUAUCUUUGUCAACCGAAUACUAUUGUGUACUUACUCUCAUUCUCAAUUUUCAUAGUCCCCUCUCUUUCAACGCACUAUUGAGUGGCAUAUAUGUUUAAAACUCGUAAAAAGUAGUGGCAGUGGUAAACUAUUUAUCCAGGCGAACUUGAAAAGUGAUAUCAUGUUCUUUACAUACAAUCACAAUACACAUCCUGUGUAUGAAUCACAUGCACAACUAGCCUCUUCAUUCAUACCUAUAUAGCAUGAUAGAAUCUUGCAGGACUAAACUGGCAUGUUUUAAGUGAUGCGCAACUAAUUUUUAUCCUGUCAUACAAUGUACAAGUGAAACAAAAACUGAAAGAAAACAAAUGGGAAAAUGCAUUAUUGUACCUGUGUUUGUCAUUUUCAACAGUUCAAUUGUUCUAUCAGCAACGGCUUCACCAAUCAUUUCUGGAGAGAAAACAGCACCAGGCGUUGAUGCUUGCUGAGUAUGUGGUCUAUAACAAGGGGCACUAAGAAGUACACGCCUCCACCAAUCAGGUGAUGGAGUAGUACGAAGUGCAUGCCUCAAACAGCGCAAAGCACGCUCCCAAUCUAAACUCCCCCUAGGAAUAGAAUUUGCAAGAUCCUAUGCCAAAAUCAGUAUAAAUUAUUACAAUCAUUGCAAACUGAAGGCUCAACAAAUCAUGAUGAGGUUAAGGAUGCAAUUGCUGCCAAGAACUUUGAGAAUAAAAUACAGCCCACUUUCAGUAAAUUGAAUUGUUUGUUGUGGGAAAGUUAAAUAAACUCAUAUUCUUUCAGGUUUUAUUUCAAACAUAGAAUUAAUAAAAGCAUGCAAAGUAUAGAAUGUCAAUGAAGAGGAAAGUUGUCUCCUACAUGCCGCAUAUGUCUACUGAAGCAGAUACCUGUGCAAUAAAAUAAAAAAGAAGAGGGAAGGAUUGUGUAAAACUAUAAGGAAAAAAAAAAAAAAAGCGCUUCCUCACCUCUCCAUGCAAGGGCUCUCCUAAAACACUGGGAUAAGUAAUAGGAGAGUACCGCAAAUUUGCAAUUGGCUCCCCAGCUACAGCAGGAUAGGAUUGGGUCAUAAAACGGUGAGUCGCAAAUGUUGGGCAAUGAAGGUGUUGGUCCAGCAUCUGCAUGUGCAUAGCCACCAUAUCCCUCCUUUUAUGAAUCUCCAUAAUCAUGCUAAACAACACUUCGUCAUCAGGAAUAUUGUCCAUAAACUGUAGACUACUGCGAAGAAGUUCAUAGAAGGGAAUACGGCAUUUGUCCUCUGCAACCAAAGUCCAUAAAACAUCCAAACAUAGAUGCAUCCAUUCGUGCAAAGGCCUCUCUAGCUUCCAGUUUUUCAUGCCAUCAGAUUCAUCUAAUCCUUGUUGCCUUUGAUCCCAAUUAACCAACCAAUUUACCAUGUGCUGAAAUAUCUCAAAAUGGGUAAUUGGCUUUAGAUUGGAUUCAAGGCCCAUAAGAAUAACCCUACACGAGAGCUGGCGAAGAUAGUUGCUAGCAGUGCCUCUAAGGUACUGGCUACCUCUUGUUCCACUAUGCUGCCCAGAGCCAGACAGCUCAGGAGGUUUAGCCGGAGAAAGAUUUACACUUGCAAGUUGGUCGGAAGUUGAUUGGGCAGGUGAUCCUAUUGCAUGAAUUGCUGAUAGGGGCGACGCCGGAUUUGAAGCAUGAUAGUUUGAAGCAUUAGGAAUCACGGCUGAAGAGGUUGGAGAUAACACUCCACCAGAAACUGAAUUCCCCUGCCCAGCUGAUGCCUCUACAGAAGAAACUGCAGAGAGAAGAGAAGGGAGGAAAGAGUCCCAUUUCAGAUAGCCUAUGCUGCACAGGCUUCGUAUAGCAAACAGGAGGAAUUCGGAUUGUGGCGCGUGGCUACUACACUGCACAACAAAAGAUAUAAGAACAGACUCUGUGACAGCGCGAAGUUGCUCCUGAUCCUGAAGUACAAUAUAGGCCUAAUUAUAAAACCUUCCAGAGAAGUGUUCAGAAUCCACAAAGAGGUCAAAAAGGAAUAUCUCAUACUCACUGGGAAUUGUCCUUGCAGCUGCUCAAAAUCUAUGACAAACUGCUCGUCGUGGGGCGGCAGCUCUCUGUUGAGAGCAGUAACCCUCUUCUGCAUCUUGUUCCUGCAGGAUUAAAUUGGCAGUGAUCAAUAGAGCAAACCGUGUAGUUAAUAUUCGCUUAUGGUCGUUCGCAUAGAGAGAAGAAGAUAGAAGAGAAGAGAAAAAGGAAAGAAAGGGAAUGACUUCCUCUUCUGCUGUUUGAAGUCUAGAGGAGAAAAUAAGAGAAACUAAGCAUUUUUAAUUCUCUCUCUUUAUGCCCAGAAAUGACCCAAAAUUGACCGUUCGACGGUUUAUUUACUCGCCAUUCCUUCUUAAUCCAAGUGAAAGAAAACAACUUUCUCCAAAAAUUUCUCUCCUCCUCUCCAAUUCCUCGUAAUCCCAACAGAGAAUUAAAGAUCUUGAAAACAUCAUGAAAAAAUUCUCAAGAAAAGAAGCCCGAGUUGUUCAAAGUCUAAUGCAUAAAGAACUCAGAAGGAGACAUUGGUUAGAAAGAUUAUCUUUAUAUAGAACAGAAAAUAUAAAGUUUCAAGAGAGAGCAACUGCCGACACCACGUUAAUCGAAAAAACAAUUCUAAGACUUACAGCUUGCUUACAACUAACAUGAUCCGACUUAUGAUUUGAAGACAUCAAGAUUAAUCAAGGAUUACAAAAGAAUCAUAAAAGGCCACAAAAUUCGACUUAUGACGGGGAACUAGGAUUGCAAAAGAAACAAUCCGAUCACGAAAUUCAGGUGCUAAUUGGCAAAGAUUAUGGACAAAACGUAGUGAAGUGAUGCGAUUAGGAGACUUACGCGGCCUCCUGCGCCGGAUCAUCGGGUCUCUGCCGCGAAUUCCUCUGAAAAGUGGGGAAAACAUUAGGGUUACCAACGCGAGAAUAAGCGGAGAGAUUGGAAUCGGAAUUGGAAUCGGAAUCGCAAUUUGAAUUGGGAUUACUCCGAGGUAGAGGUUGAAGAGAUCGACAAUGGCCGAUCGAGCCGGGUGGAGUUGGAGGGGCCUCGGCCCCCUCUGGUUUUGCUCCAUCUCCCUCUCCCUCUCUCUCUCUCUUCUGGUUACAGCUUAGAAAGGGGUUUUUGGAGUUCUUGAACCCCGGUGGGUGAGUGAGUUCUCGGGGACGAACGGAAGGCGACUUAUAUACCCGCAUAAAGUUCGGUCGCGUGCGGAGUCCGACGAAGUGGACGAGACGUGGGGCCAUCGGCCCAUUGGGCCGGGCUCUAACUCACGCUAGCGACGGCCCAAUUAGAUAUUUGUAGUUUUGUACAAACUUAAUUAUUUAUUACUGGAAAAAAAAAAAAAAGAUUAAAGUAAAACCUACCCUAUUAUUUAGUAUUUUAUUAUUGUUAUUUUAGUUUAUUUAUUUAAGUUCGUAUAAAAAACGCUCUCCAAAUGGUCACCAUGUCCUGAUGCAAGUACGCAACGCGAGAUAAUUUUUUAAAAGGAAAAAAAAAAUUUUAAAAAAAAAGGAGAAAACAGAUUAAAACUGAUAGAUUGAAAAUUAUUAUGGCGACUAAUAUUCGCAUGCAUACCAUUUCGUCCCCUAAGCGACAAAUUUGAAAUCCAUCGUGGCGUUUUAUUUCCCUCCAGUUUGAAAAUCCGUUGUAUUCCUAACAACUAUAACGCCUCUCCUCAUUUUAAGCUAUUCAGUUUUAACUCUCCCCUACACGGCGGCUACACCCCUAUAUAUAUAUAUAUAUAAAUAUAAACAUGCGUGCACCCCCUCUCCCCUUCAAUUUAGCCUUGCAGUACGUAGAAAGUGUAGAGAUUGCUAACACCAUGGGCACCAAUUCUCUCCUCCUCUGCGUCUUCGUUCUCGUCGCUUCGUCGUCGGCCUUCACCGUUCUAUCCCUCGGGGACGACGGCACGGCGUCGGUGUUGCCGUGCUUGAGCGAGCUGAUGCCGUGCACGCCGUACCUGCACGCGGAGAAGCCGCCCGCGGUGUGCUGCAUGCCGCUGAAGAUCGCGCUCGACACCGAGGCCCCCUGCCUCUGCAAGCUCUUCGACGACCAGGCGCUCCUCGGGACAUUCAACGUCACCCAGUCUGAUAUGCUCCACUUUCCCCAGAAAUGCGGCCACGCCCCGCCCGACCUCAGCCUUUGCAAGAACUCCGCAGGUACGUUCAACGACAAAUCUCGCCACGCUUUGUUUUAAUAGAUUACUAUUCUGCUGCGGUUUAAAAUGUAUCAUUUUGCUUUCCUAGAUUUAUGUGUGCGCGCUUGUGUCGAGUAAAUUUGCAGGUACAGUACCUCCUCCUCCUCCUCC
rnacentral:lncRNA from 1 species